AAAAGAGCACAAAUGACGUUGGCAAACCUGAAACUUUCCCAUUGGGCAAUAAACAUUACUCCAGUCAAAAACAUUAUGGAAGAGGCAAACCUGAAACUUUCCCAUUGGGCAAUAAACAUUACUCCAGUCAAAGACAUUAUGGAAGAGGCAAACCUGAAACUUUCCCAUUGGGCAAUAAACAUUACUCCAGUCAAAGACAUUAUGGAAGAGGCAAACCUGAAACUUUCCCAUUGGGCAAUAAACAUUACUCCAGUCAAAAACAUUAUGGAAGAGGCAAACCUGAAACUUUCCCAUUGGGCAAUCAGCAUUACUCCAGUCAAAAAAAGUAUGGAAGAGGUGCUUCUCCAUCCGACAAUCAACCACCAAUUCCAUAGAAAUUCAAACACGGCUACUUUCUUGCCACGAGAAAGCGCUCAAUCGAUCCCCUUCUCCUCUAACAAACUACCAGAAAUUUUCAACCAUUUUUCAGUGAAGCCAACAUCUGAGGAAGCCAAAACAAUUAAGCAAACAAUCGAAGAGUGUGAAGCUCCAGACCUUAAGGGAGAGGAAAUAUAUUGCGCCACAUCUUUAGAAUCAAUGGUUGAUUUUAGCACUUCGAAGCUUGGAACAAGAAACGUUGAAGCAAUCUCGACGGAGGUAUUGGAAAAAGGAGCCACCAUGUCCAUCCAAAACUAUACAACAAUGCCGGGACUGAAGAAGUUGGCAGGUGACAAAGUCGUUGUGUGUCAUAAGCAGAACUAUCCCUAUGCUGUGUUUUUCUGCCAUGCAAUAAAACAUACAGCAGCUUAUGCUCUCUCCCUGAAAGGCGAUGAUGGGGAGAAGGUUAAAGCAGUAACCAUCUGCCAUCUAGACACAUCAGAAUGGGACCCAGAGCAUAUGUCCUUCAAAAUCGUCAACGUUAAGCCCGGAACCAUUCCCAUCUGCCAUUUCAUUUCCACUGAUGCUAUUGCCUGGGUUCCGAACCACAAAUCUGCAUGAUCAUCACUUAGCACUAGUACUGUGCGUAUAAUAUGCCUGUAUAAUUAUCUCCCUACUUAUUUCUGCCUGUUCAUCAUGUGGUGUAAGAUAUAUGUUGAGAUGAAGUUUUUGGGAUUAGUGGUCGAAAUUAACCCGAUCAUGUUUUCUCUUGUAACUAUAUAGACUUCAACUUGUACUCAUAAUAAAGCAUGCUAUAUUUAUGAAGAGAUAUUAAUCUUCAGGCAAAUAGAUAUUAUGAAAACAUAUAUAGCAAUUUAUCCAGAAGAAAUAUUAUGAAAUGAAAAGAAUAAAAAGUAAAAAAACAGAAGGAAAGGAAUUCGCACCUGCUAUGUAUGAAAGGACCAAGAUUGUUUUCCCUUUGGUUAAUGACUAGAAAAGCUCACUUGCAGAUUGCUUUCUCUGACCGUAGAUGCAACAGAAAUUUUCUCUUAAUAAUAGCACAAUGAUCGGGUAAUUGUAAGAACAAGUUGAUUUAAAAUUCCUUGACCCAAAAAAAAAAAAAAAAUCAUUUCAAAUUCAGGUCAACCCAUAGAUUUCUUGCCUUUUUCUUCUUCAUCACGUUGGGCUUGUCUUCUUCUUGAGGAUUGUAUAGGCCCAGGAAAUGCUUUGAGGUAGUUUUUGGCCUUGGAAGUUGGGACCCAACCCAACUUCACAAAAAGAAAACAGAUUUGCCAAAAAUCAAAUUUCAAGUCUCUCCUCAGAUCACUAAUACAGAUCAAAUUUUGGAUUUGAUGAACUAAAGUGGUUUUACUUUCUCUGUCAGUGUUUGAUGACUUAAUUUGUUAUUUACUUCUUUUUUUUUUUUUACUUGAUCUUUGUAGGGGUUUUUUUCUUCCGGUAACUUAAACGGGCUGGGCUGCCGUAAAGGGUAGAUUGAUGAAAUUGUCUCCUUUGUCUGAGUUCGAAAAUCAAGCCCCAAAAGCGCUUCGAAAGGGCAGUAGAGCCUUAGGAAGCGUUCUAGUCAUCUUCACCAACUAAAACAACAGCAACUUACAGAUGAUUUCUUAAGGCUUACAGAUAAAUUUUCUAGCUUGGCAUGAGAGGCUUGUGACAUGGAAGCAAAAUCAGCAUGAGUUUAGCACCAAAGAGGAAAAUAUGGCUUCCUAGGGAGAAAUGGGAGUGUUUAAGGUGAGGAAGAAGAGGUUUGCAGGCUGAUUUGGCUGAGGAGAGAGAAAGAAAGAACAAUGUUCUUCCAGUAGCUUGACAAAGCUUCUGACAGAUGUGAAAGUCGUCUGCCAUAAGAGGAAAAUGAAGAAGAAUGGUGAAUAGUGCAUGAAAUUGCUGGGUUUUUGCAGGUAAGAGAGAAAGCUUGCUCUCUGAAUUUGAGUUGGUUUUUGGUUGGGUAGAAGAGGCCCCCUUUUAUAGCUGCGGGAAACCAUCUUUUUUCAAGAAACCCUAAUGGUUUCUAUCCAUUUUGGCCAAGCUUUUCCCUUCAUUUCUCUUCUCCUCCCUUGACUUUUCCUAUCUUGGUGAAAUUUCCUCUGCCUAUUUGCACAAAAUUAGAGAUUUUGAGGAGCUCAAGACCCCUUUCCCGCAGCUGCCUCAGUGGAGAAUCCCCAUUUUCAGUCAUCUUUCUUCCUUCUUUUCUCCCAUCUUCCAAGGUUAGGUCUGAUGAGGGAAAGAAAUGGGUAUGCACACUGGUUUGAAGGGUAUUUUUGCUUGAAACUUGUUCUCUCCCAUGUGCUGGAGCUUCCCAGCAACUUACACACAUGGAUAUUUUGGCUUUCAUCGUGGCUUUUGUUUUCAGCUAGGUGCUGGAGAUUUCGCAGAUAUUUUCAUGAGUUGCUUGGGCCUUCUAGGACAAUAGGUUGGUUUAUCAAGUGAAUGGGCUAACUUCAUCAAUUGUUGGGCUAUUUUGGUUGAGUUAAUGGACUAUUUUGGUUGAAGUAAUGGGCUAUUUUGGUUGAAUUAAUGGGCUAUUUUUCUCUCUUUGUGCUCACCCACAUAUUUGGGCCUAAGAAAUGGGCUUGAGUUCCGGGGCUCCCAAGCAACCCCGGGACUUCCAUUUCUCGGCCCAUCAAUGGGCCUCAUAUCAACUUAUUACCAUCCAUAUCACAACCCACUCAAGCAAGCCCUGGGCAUCUUGCGUGGCUUGGGCCCACUUAAGCUUGUAGCGUGACGUGUUGCUUAUUUGCUUGGCAUGGCAUGUGUGCAAGCGCAUAUGACGAACUUUAGCGUGCCCAAAUUGGGUUUAUUCUCGGUAAGGUAUCGCAUUGGGCCGAGAAUUUAAUUGGGCAGAACUGUGGAUUUUUGGGCCUCAACAAUCUUAUAUAUAUUGGUUUUCUUUUUUUCCUUAAUAUUCACCACCUUUCUGUUGCAUAAGUAUUUCAGUCUUAACGGGUUUCCAUCUACCACUCAUCUUUGCUCUUUUAAGUGUAAGCUUUUUUUUUUUUUUUUUAAGCACAAGAUUAGAGGGGAGGGGGAUUUCUCAAUGUAAGCUUUGCAGUUUCAUAAUUAAUAUUUCCAAUAUCUCACUGUUAGUAAAAUAUGGAACAGGAAAAGUAUGAAUAAAAUACACACAUGUUUUAUUUAGCAAAAUUUUGACAAGAUACAACUGAAAAGUUUGGCCACUAUAUAAUAUUUUGAUAUAAUUUCUACACUUCUUCUCAAAAGAUUAGAUCACUUCACAUCUUGUGUAUGUGAAAACUAAUGUAAAAAGUUGAAACUUUAUCGUAAAACCUCGACAAAAAUGAGCUCUACUAGAAAAUGUUCAAUUUGGAUUCGUUGAUUUAAAUGGCAAUUUGACACUUGAUAGAAAUUUUUACAUACAUGUGUUAGUGUUUGAUCACUUCACAUGUUACUUACUAUAUUUAUUCCACUCAAGUUAGGUAAAUAUUAUUAUCAAACAUUUCAAUUAAUUUGUGAUUUUUUUAUUAUUUAAUCAAUUAUGAAUUAAUGGAUUCUUCUUGUUGUUUUGAAGACCAAUAAAAAAAAAAGGGUAAGGAUGGCUUAUAACUCUGAUAAAACAACAGUGACGUGGACAGCAGAUGUUACACCGUACUGAAGAUUUUUGAAGAUUCUUUAUUUGGGUUUCUUUCAAGAUGAAAACCAUAUUAUCCACAACCACAAUGAAGAAGACAGAAAAUGGAGUAAUUCAGAUGUUACCAGCCAUCCACGACAAACUGAAGUCUGCAAAGCAUUCGUAAUCUAAAGGGAGACUUUGGAAAAGCCCAAAGGAGAGAGAAAAUUUUUAAAAGAAGCAAAAAUGGACAAAAUUGCCCUUAUUUAUUUUUUGAUUUCCUAAGAAAUCCUUUACAUUUGCAUGUCUUUGGUUUGAAAGUUGAGAGGUUAUUCUGUCUUUUUUCAAAAAGCUUUGGCUUUUUCCAAAAGUGAAAGUUUUUUUAUGGGUAAAACCUAAAUUUACUUAAUCCCUAAAAAGGAUGGGGAGGCUGCGCAAUACUUAGCCACGUGUAGGCCAGGAGGCUUUCCAAUUUUAAUAUAUAUAUAAAUUGAAAAAAUAAAAUAAAAAUCAAUCUAUUAUCCUAUAUAAAAUAAAGAUUAUUGCUUCCAUGGGCAGUGCUAUGCACAGGACAGUGCCUGCCCAGCACAAAUUUUUUUUAAAUAAAAAAAAAAAAUCUACAUAUGUUAUAAGCUCAUCCAAAAAAAUAAAAUAAAAUAAAAGUAAAUUCUACAUAUAUGUUGCCCAUCUAGGUGGUUCCAUAUCUUCUCUCUCCUUCUCUUUUGGCUAUUAGACUUCUUGUUUCUCUCUCUCUCUUUGCUACCUCACAUCAGCAAGUUUCUCCCUCUCUUUUUUUGGGGUCAAAUUCUUCCUCUAUUGACAAAAUCUUCUAUUAUCUUGGGUGGGCAACUUGGCAACAACAUCUUCUCUUCUCCUUUUGUCAACAACAAGUAUUAUUCUCAUUCUCUCAUUUGCUAUAUAUCUUUAAUUAUAGUUUUAAUUUAAAAUUGAGUAUUCUAGGGUUUAAUUAGGGAUGAAUUAUAAUUUUAGAAUUUUGUUGAAAUUAAUUAAGGCUUCGAUUAGGGGUGAAUUAUUCUACUGCUUUGGUUUGGAAUUUUGUUAAAAUUGAGUAUUAUAGGGUUUAAUUAUGGAUGAAUUAUAAUUUUUGAUUUUGGUAUUAUUGAGAUGUUAUUAUGAGAAUUUGUUUCAUUUUUUUAUUGGUAUAUUUGAUUAAAAUUCUUUCUACAUAUUAUUCAUAGGCUAUCUUUUAUUAUGUCGGAUCACAAUCGGAAUCCCAAGAGAACAAAGAAUUUGAAUAGUGUUGUUUUGUAUUGCAUUGCAUUUACUUUUGGUUUUAGUUUUGCUUUUAGUGUAAAUUACUCAAAUGGUCCUCAAAUUUGUACCCGAUUUACAUUUUGGUCCAUAAACUAAAUUAUUCAUUCAAAUGGUGCACCAACUCUUUAUUAAUCAGUGCUUUGGUCCUACCGUUAUGUUUUCUAUUAAAUUUAGUCAUGUGAGCAGCACAUGCUACAUUUGUAGGGGUAAAUAAGACUUUUGACCACUUUAUCACCUAUGUAUCACCACUUUAUAACCUAUUUGGAGAACAUAGGUCAGUUAUGGACGGUUUUACAAUUAUAUUUGACGGCAACAUUAACAUAAUGUAACAGUGGGAUCAAUGGAGCGAUUAAUAUAGAGUUGAUGGACCGUUUGAACGAAUAAUUUAAUUGAGGGACCAAAACGUAAAUUGAGUAUAAGUUUGAGGACCAUUUGAGUAAUGUACCCUUCGCUUUUAUAUUUGUUGAACUUUUAUUUAUGGAUAGAUAUGCAUUUGAGGGUAAGACCCAUUAUGUUCCCCCUGACUUGGUGUAUCUUUUUAUGUUUAUUAAUGAAAUUCACUCGAACUGUUGAGUUUAGUAUGUAAGUUUUGCCUAACCGGCUUUUGAAUCCUAGAACCGCCACUGUUGCUCCAUCCUCCAUGCACUUGCAUGUGCUCUUACAAAGUGUGAAGUAGAUUUUGUGUGCUCCAAGUCAUUGACUAGAGCUGAAACAUGGUUAGCUAGAUUUAUAAGGACCCAUCUCUCUAUUUCCUAGACAUAUACCCAUCUCUCUAUAAAUCUAUAUGUAAAACUCAAUUUCAAACUUAAAUGACCAGUAAGAUAUAAGAGGUCAUAGUAUUCCUAUGUUUUUACAUCGUUGCCACCAGACUUCUUAUUUUAUUUAUAAUUUAUUUCAAGCAUUUCAUUAACUGCCAUAAUUGUAAUUAAUACUCCAUAUUAAUAGCAUAUCAAUCACCCCAUUUCUUUUGAUUGCCAUUCCCUCUAACAUAUCGCCCCUUAAAAUUGAAAACCAAAAAAAAAAAAAAUGUAAAUUACAUAUCCAAUAAUGUACCUAUGAAAAAUAUAAAUAUAAAUAUAUACGUAUAAAAAUAUAGGUUUAUUAUUUACCAAAUAAAAAAUAUAAAAAAACUAGGUCAGUUGCUUUGUAAUUGAAAUUUCUAUACAUUUUCCACAAAUUAAAAAUAGGUACACAAUAAUUUAUAGAAAAUAUAGGUGCAUUAUUUAUCCAUAGGUAAAAAUACCUAUAAAUGCACAUAGGUAAAUUAUUUACCCAUAUAUUAUUUUUUUGCUAAGGAUUUACCUUAGUUUUUAGUAGAUUAAUUUACCUACCUAGAGGCAUAGGUAGCUUAAAAAAAUUGUAGCACCUUAGUUGGUUGCAUACUAAUUUACCUACCUAGAGGCAUAGGUUGCUAAGAAAAAAUGUAGGUAAAUUCAUGUACCUAAACACAUAGGGGUCAAAUAGAGAAUAACAUGUUAUUUCCCUUCGAACAAAUUAAUUUCAAACCAUAACAAUAAUUGAAUUCGGAAAUUGGUAUAAAUAAAAGGAAAUAAAUAAGCUAUCAAUUUGAAAAUUAAAAUAAGAAAUGAUCAAGUAGUCAUAUUUGAAAAAAAAGAAAAGAAUAUAUUCUUGGUUUUUAUAGGAACAACGUGUAUAUUCAAACCAAAUGGCAGUAACUACACCAAGCUUUAAUUACUUUUUUUUAAGGCCAAAAGUCACUUUUGGUCUCUGUAGUUUGACACUUCUAUUACUUUUGACGCUGUAGUUUCAAUUCCGUCAAUUUUGCCAUUGUAGUUUCAUAUUUGUAGCAAUUCAAGGACAUGUUAAUAUUAAUGUCAAUUUGUUUAAUGAUGCAAGGGGUAAUUUCGUCAUCCCAAAAUCCUUGAGCAUAAAAGCUUGUCUGAAAUUCUCCCCAUUUCAUAUUAGGGCUCGAAAUUCAACCACUAAUCCCAAUUUUUGAAGAACCCUAUACCCAAAUGACCAAUUUCAAGCCCUAAUAACAAAUUAGGGAAGUUUUAGAUGAGCUUUUAUGCUCAAGGAUUUUGAGUUGAAGAAAUUGCCCCUUGCACUGUCAAAGAAAUUGAUAGGAAUACUGACUUGUCCUUGAAUUGCUACAAAUACAAAAAUACAGGGUCAAAAUUAACAGAAUUUAAACUAUAUGGUCAAAAGUGGUUAAAGUGCCAAACUACAAGGACCAAAAGUGACUUUUAGCCUUUUUGUUUAAAUAAGGAAAAAACUUACCUAUUAAAUCCUUGGAAUCUAUACAAAAUUGAAACACAGUUAAUCAGCAUUGAAUUGCAGCUAAUUUCUUAAACAAGGGUAUUAUAGGAAUUUAAAAAGUAUAACAUUUAAUCCAUUGAGCUUGAUUAGGAAUCUUGAUGAGUUGGAUCCUAGUUAUAUAGUUUCUCUUAUAAAAAUCGGGUUUUAUUUAUAGACAAAUAAAACAAUGGGUUGUAGGUAAGAAAAUAUUAAUUUGAAGGGAAAGUGUCACAUCCUGGGAUCGGCUCCGCCGUAGCACGAUAUUGUCCGCUUUGGGCCCCCCUCUCUGCCCGCACGGUUUUGUUUCUGGGAGCUCACGAGCAACUUCCCAGUGGGUCACCCAUCCUGGGAUUGCUCUGGCCCCCAACUCGCUUAACUUCGGAAUUCCUAUGACUCCGAAGCCAGUGAGCUCCCAAAAGGCCUCGUGCUAGAUGGAUGCGGGUGUGUACAUAUAAGACACAUCACCCCCUCUCCGUUGGUUGAUGUGGGAUCUUACAGAAAGAGUCAAAUUUACUAAAUUAAUAAAGCAUAAAUUGGAAAGGGAAAAGAUCUAGAGGAUGCAUUGUAGGAUUGCUCAUGCCAAUAAUUGCACCCUCUCGAUAUUGAAAAACCUAUUGUGUAUUAUUAUCUUCAAUCAUGAAUGAUGCACCUAAAACCCAAGUGUCCCAAGCCAACCAUUGCGCUCAUACCACUUGUUGCAGUACACAUUCACCCGUUUUUAAAGAAAGAAAUUCUACCAAUCGAUAUUGUCUCAAAUUUAAUCACAUAGGUCUAUUAUGGUUAACCAUAUGUACUUUUAUCGGCCAUAUAGAGGUACCUUUUUCCAACGUGCAACAAUUGUAUUUGAUUCACAAUUAUGUCUGAUAUACAUCACAUCAUGCCACUUGCCUCAAAUGAAUUUAAUUGAGUGAGGCAAUGGGAAGUAAUUAAGCUCUAUAUUGGUGGGUGGAGUGUUACUUCUGGAACCCUCAUCAUUCGUCCAUACAAGGGAACAAUUCCCUUCCUUCUAUAAAAUGGUGAAGCCAGUUGCUAUUGUUUGUUAGAGUUUUAGGAUCUGAGUGUUAGAUUUUGUGAGAAGAGAGAAGAGAAUUUAGUGAAAACUUCCAAUACUGCUCUGCUAUACGUGUAGCAGAGAGAACAUUCUGUUUUGUUAUAUAUUUUCAGUACAACAACACACACUUGGUGUGAGAAGAAAAAUGACUGUUAUGCACAGUACCAGCUGGAUGCUUUCCAUCAAAGUAAUCUCAGCCAUUCACUAUCUAACCAAUCAAGCUAUGACACCUGGACUAAGUAUAAAGAAAUACAACUAAGCAGAAAACAAGACUCUUAAUCCUGAAAUCAACUUAAGCACUUAUAAUUCAACACUCCCCUUUAAGUCUUGAGGUGAUUUCACUCCAAGCAUGCCUCUGAGAUAAUUGAAUCUGUCUUUGGCCAGAGGUUUGGUAAAAAUGUCAGCCAAUUGUUCAUUUGUAGGACAAUAUUCCAGAUUGAUUACCCCUUCUUGCAAUGCAUCCUUGAUGAAGUGAUACCUCCUGUCAAUAUGCUUUGUCUUCUGGUGGAAUACAGGGUUUUUAGUGAUUGCAAUUGCUGAGAUAUUAUCACAAUGCAAUGGAGUAGCUUCAGUUUGAAGCUCUCUAAAGUCUUCUAGCACAAAACGGAGCCAAAUAGCUUGAGUAGUAGCCUCAGCUGCACUGAUGUACUCAGCUUCUGCAGUAGACAGUGCAACACAGUUCUGUUUCACUGAGGCCCAAGAAAAUACUCCACUUCCAAAACUAAACGCAUACCCUGAUGUGCUCUUGCAAUCACCAACUGAUCCUCCCCAAUCACUGUCACAGUAACCAACUAGAAUUGAUCUUUUGCCUUUCACAUAUUCAAGACCAUAGUCCAGAGUUCCUUUGAUGUAUCUCAAAACCCUUUUAGCUGUUCCAUAGUGUCUAUUUGUAGGACAGUGCAUGAAUCUAGCUAGCAAGCUUGAGGCAUACAUGAUGUCUGGUCUUGUAGCAGUUAAGUACAGCAAGCUACCAACAAUGCUUCUGUAUUGUUCUUCAUUUGCAGCUCAACUCCCAUCAUCCUUAGCUAGUUUCUCAGUGGCAACAAGGGGUGUUGUCACAGGUUUGCACUCAGUCAAACCAAACUUGCUCAACAAGGUGCUAGCAUAUUUCUUUUGAUGUAGAAAUAUACUAGACUCAGUCUGAAUAACUCCCAUGCCAAGAAAGUGAUGAAGUAAGCCCAAAUCAGUCAUCUCAUACUUAGCCAUCAUGUCUUCUUUGAAUUCAGCCAACAAUGCUUGACUGCUCCCUGUAUACACAAUAUCGUCUACAUAGAUAGACACAAUUAGAAUCUCCUUAUCUCCCCUUACUUUGGUAUAUAAGGUUGUUUCACUUAAGCUUUUCACAAAACCACAUUGAGUGAAGUAGCUGUCUAUCUCUCCAUACCAAGCCCUUGGGGCUUGCUUCAGACCAUAAAGGGCUUUAUGCAAACGAUAAACCUUGUCUUCUUUACCUUUAAUUACAAAACCUUCAGGCUGACUGACAUAAACUUCCUCUUGCAGCACACCAUUAAGGAAAGCAGACUUCACAUCAAGCUGGAACAAUUUCCAAUCCUUUUGAGCAGCUAGAGCAAUAAGUGUUCUAAUGGUGUCCAAUCUGGCUAUAGGUGCAUAAGUCUCAUUAUAAUCCAGUCCAGGCUUCUGAGCAUACCCCUUAGCCACUAAUCUUGCUUUAUUCUUUUGCACUGAGCCAUCCAAAUUCAGCUUUGUCUUGUACACCCACUUAACUCCAAUCACUGGUUUUUCAGUUAGUCUAUCUACCAAUUCCCAUGUUUCAUUCUUUUCAAUCAUCUGCAGUUCAUCUUCCAUAGCCUUAAGCCAAGAUUCAUCCUGAGCAACAUCAGCAUAUUUUUCUGGUUCCAUGAUACACAAGUUACACUGAGCUAGAACAUCAUCUAGCCUUCUCCAUUUUAGAGGGGUGUGAUCAUAAGCUUGAGUUCUCCUUUCUUCACUGCUUAUAUCACCUGGAGUUGAUGAAAUGCUCUCUUGCAUAUCCAAAGUUUGAGGUGUACCAGUAGAAUUCUCAUUAGAACUGUCAGAUUUCAAGUCCAAAUCAACUUGGUUUUCAAUUGAGUAUGUUGUCAUAACUGAACCAUUUUUGUUUGUCCAAUGCCAAGCAUUUUCUUCAUCAAAUGUCACAUCCCUUGAUAGUAAAAGCUUGUUAGAAACAGGAUCAAAAACUCUAUAUCCUUUUUCACAAGUUGCAUAUCCCACAAACACUCCCUUUGUACUCUUAGGAUCCCGCUUGUGUCUCAAUUCAGUUGGCACAUGAACAUAACACAGAGAACCAAACACUUUCAGAUGUGCAAUUCCAGGCUUCCUUCCACUAUAUGCUUCGAAUGGAGUAAUGUUGUUGAGAGCUUUGGUAGGACAUCUGUUCAGCAAAUAGAUAGCUGUAUGCACAGCUUCUGCCCAUAGGAAAUAAGGCAUUCCCUUCUCAUGUAACAUUGAUUUUGCCAUCUCAAUGACAGUUCUAUUCUUCCUCUCAACUACUCCAUUCUGCUGAGGAGUAUAGGCCAUUGUAAGCUGCCUUUGAAUGCCAUUAGCUUCACAAAACUCCAAAAAAUCAGUAGACAUAAACUCUCCACCCCUGUCACUUCUUAUGCACUGAACCUUGUGUCCAGUUUGUAAUUCAGUCAUGGACUUGAACUUCUUGAAACAAAAGAAGGCUUUUGACUUGUUUCUCAAGAAGUAUACCCAAAUCAUUCUUGUGAAAUCAUCUAUAAUCAGCAUGAAAUAUCUGUUCCUUGCAACAGACUCAUUUCUCAUGGGACCACAGAGAUCCACAUGUAUUAGCACUAGUACUUUGCUUGCUCUUUGAGCUUGAUCUUUUGGAAAAACAUUUCUGUGCUGUUUUCCAAAUUGGCACCCGUCACACACACCACUUUGUUCUUCCAAUUUUGGUAAACCAUGUACCAUUUCUUUAUCACUUAGCUGCUUCAAUCCUCCAAAAUGCAGAUGACCAAAUCUCUUGUGCCAAAUCCAUGUGGAUUGAAGAAAACUAGUCUUCAUUAGUAACUGUUUUUCAGCUAGAAAAGAGACAGGAUAGCAUCUGUUACUCUUCAUUUGCACCUUUAUGAUGAGAUAAUCCAUGGAUGGGCUAUCAAAUACCCUGCACAUCCCUUCUCCAAACACUAGACAGUACCCAUGUUCAUCCAUCUGCCCAACACUUAGCAGAUUUUCUUUCAAUCCUGGCAGAUACAUUACUUCUCUGAUGUAUUUCCUGCCCUUUGCUGUAUCAAUACUCAGUGAGCCAAUACCAGCUACACUCACUAAUGCACCAGUUGGCAUUUGUACUCUCCCAGCUACAUUAGUUCUCACAUCAACCAGCAAAUCUAAAUUUCCUGUCAUAUGAUUGCUGCAGCCACUGUCAAUGUACCAUUCAUUGGUUUUGAUCUCAGUGGUUGAGCAAUUGGCAUAAAACAGGUUUCCUGUAACCUCCAUUUGAUUUACACAAUUAGCCUUCUGCACAUUUUUGCUCACUGUACAGUCUCUAGCAAGAUGUCCAACUCUGUCACAGUUAUAGCAUUUUGGUUUUCCCUUAUACCUGCACUCACCAAAAUGAUGCUUUGAACACACCUUGCAUUGAGGCUUUGUGUUUUCCUGAUUUGAGAACUGUGUUGAAGUGUGGUUCUGUGCAGAAUAAUUAUUCUGCUGUGUCUUGUCUUUUGCCUCCCAUGACUUCCCUUUAGAGUUCCAGCUUCUCUGUGACUUAGAUGAACCAGACUGAGAAGCAUUUUUGUUCUGACCCUUUGAAUUCACAGUGAAUGAGGCAAAUGCCUUCUCAGCUGUAUCAACACUAUGCAUUUCAAGCCUUUGCUCCCGACUCUUCAAAAUGGCAGUUACUUCCUGCAAAUCCACAGUUUCUAGUGUCUUUGUGUUUUCAAUCACAAUGCAUAUAGGGUCAUACUUCUUACUUAGACUAAUUAACACCUUCUGAACCUACCUCUCAUUUGACAGAACUUCACCAAAUGUUUUCAUUUGGUUAAUCAAUUCAGUUAGUCUAGUAAGAUAUUCAGAUAAGGUUUCACUAUCACGCAUCCUACUGUAUUCAAACUCACGUCUAAGGUUUUGAAGCUUUACCGAUCUAACAUGCUCUCCACCAUGAUAUUCUGAGUACAGCAGAUUCCAAGCCAUCUUUGCAGAGUCAGCAUUGGCAAUUCUGGGAAAAAUCUGAUCAGAAACAGCAUUUUGAAUGAUACCCAAGGCCUUCGCAUCCUUCAUGAGAAUCGCAGCUGUUUUCUCAUCAACUUCUUCUUCUGAACCAUCCUCAGAUUCCUGCUUCGUCUUUGAAUCUGGGAUUAAAAACCCCUUCUCUACCAAACCCCAUAAACCAUAUGAUCUGAAUAUGGUUACCAUCUUAAUCCUCCAAAAUUCAUAGUUCUCACCUGAGAAAAUGGGGAUUCUAGCCUCUGAACUUCCAGAUCCAGCCAUUACGAAUUUCAGAUUCGCCUGGAAACAAGAUGUUUUCAGAUUUGACCCUUGAUCGAGCUCAAUCAGCUUCGUGAGCUUAGAAUGAGCUCACCUCGAUCGAUUUUCUUCACAGAACAACGCCCAGCUUCAGAUAAUCAAACUUGGCUCUGAGGCCAUGUUAGAGUUUUAGGAUCUGAGUGUUAGAUAUUGUGAGAAGAGAGAAGAGAAUUUAGUGAAAAUUUCCAAUACUGCUCUGCUAUACGUGUAGCAGAGAGAACAUUCUCUUUUGCUAUAUAUUUUCAGUACAACAACACACACUUGGUGUGAGAAGAAAAAUGACUGUUAUGCACAGUACCAGCUGGAUGCUUUCCAUCAAAGUAAUCUCAGCCAUUCACUAUCUAACCAAUCAAGCUAUGACACCUGGACUAAGUAUAAAGAAAUACAACUAAGCAGAAAACAAGACUCUUAAUCCUGAAAUCAACUUAAGCACUUAUAAUUCAACAUUGUUACCAUAAGAGCCAGCUCCGACUUUCUUUAAUUUCAGUCCUAACGGGGUUUCAUCUUCCACUCAUCUUUGCUCUUCUCAGUGUAAGCUCUGCAAUUUGAUUAACUUUCCCAUUAUCUCUCACUGUACUCUAUAUAAAGGAAUAAGUGUCGUCCACUAAUUAAUUACACUUUGUGAGAUUUGAUUUUAAUUAGAGUUCGAAUUGAUGUUGCAGCUAGCAGCGGUGGCACUGGCAAACCAUGCUGCUCAACCAGCACCUCAACUUUACUGGAACUCCGUCCUGCCAAACACACAAAUGCCAAGAGCUAUCAGUGAACUUCUGCAUCCUGGUUUGUGUUGAAUAAAUAUAGUAUGUUACUGGAGUACGUAUGGCAACAUAUUCACAAAUGUGUCACGUAUUUUCCAAUAUGACGUUGAUAUAUAAUUGCAGACUCCACAAACGAAGAAAAGAGCACAAAUGUCAUGAAUGCUGUUGGGAAUGGAAAGCCAAUUGACCACAAGGGCAACCUGAAAAUACUGUACUACCACAGCUUGCACGACGCCCAUUUUCUUACAAGAGUGAUGAUCGUCCCACUGACAAUCAACUCCAUUAUAAAAACGUAGCUAUUUUCUUCUUGGAGAAGGACAUGCGCCCUGGCACAACAAUGAGCUUCCAAUUCCCUAGAAAUUCAAACACGGCUACUUUCCUGCCACCAGAAAGAGCUCAAUCGAUCCCCUUCUCCUCUAACAAACUACCAGAAAUUUUCAACCAUUUUUCAGUGAAGCCAACAUCUGUGGAAGCCAAAACAAUUAAGCAAACAAUCGAAGAGUGUGAGGCUCCAGGCAUUAAGGGAGAGGAAAUAUAUUGCGCCACAUCUUUAGAAUCAAUGGUUGAUUUUAGCACUUCGAAUUUUCGAACAAGAAACGUUCAAGCAAUCUCGACAGAGGUAUUGGAAAAAGGUGCCACCAUGUCCAUGCACAAGCAUACAACAAUGCCGGGACUGAAGAAGUUGGCAGGUGACAAAGUCGUUGUGUGUCAUAAGCAGAACUAUCCCUAUGCUGUGUUUUACUGCCAUGUAAUAAAACCAACAGCAGCUUAUGUUCUCUCCCUGAAAGGCGAUGAUGGGGUGAAGAUUAAAGCAGUAGCCAUCUGCCAUCUAGACACAUCAGAAUGGAACCCAAAGCAUUUGGCCUUCCAAAUCCUCAAAGUUAAGCCCGGAACAAUUCCCAUCUGCCAUUUCCUUCCCACUGAUCAUAGUGUCUGGGUUCCGAACCACAAAUCUGCAUGAUCAUCACUUAGCACUGUACGUAUAAUAAGCUUGCACCCCUGUAUAAUUAUCUCCCUACUCUACUUAUUUCUGCCUCUUCAUGUGGUGUAAGAUAUAUGAUGAGAUGAAGUUUUUGGGAUUAGUGGUCGGGUUGCCUUAAAAACACAGAUUACAGAAACUGCUUGAACUUAACCCGAUCAUGUUUUCUCUUGUACUCGUAAAGCAUGCUGUUGUGGUUCUACUUAAUUUCGUUCUCCCCAAUGUUUGAGUGUUUAAUUGUUACGUUGGAUAAUGCUUGUAGUUAGAGAAGCCUUCAUUUAUAUCAAAGUCCUCAACUUGUAAAGAUAUCAAUGGUCCUAGUGCUGCCACGUGUAAGAAGAUUGAAGAAUAAAGCUGUUGAGAUAUUGUUAGACCUGUUAUGCAGUUUAGGAAAACUGUUAGUAUUGAUAAGAGAAGGUUAGAGAUGUUAGAGAGGUUAGAAAACACGUGAACAAGGCUUUAACUCAGCUGAUAUAAAGUCUGUAGUUGUGCUCAGUUGAACUUAAUGAGAAAUACAACAAGUCUCUUCUCUAUCUCUGAAAUUCUCUCUGCUCUCUCUGCUUUACUUCUUUUGUCUCUGCUCUACAUUUUUUUUCAAUCUUCCUAUCUUAACAAAACUAUCAAGAAUUAAUGCAUCCAGAAACAUAUAUACCAAGACGCAAAACAACAUAUUUUUCAUGCUCUGUCUGUAACACCAAAGCAAACUUCCUUUAUCACAAAAGGAUCAAAUUCCAGUACUAAUCUAAUCCAUCAUGUAAAGCAUACAAUCUACAAGUGCCUCCCUUAAUUUGUCCAUUGGAUAUAUAUGUCACUUUUUGGUAAUUUGGUAUAGCAGCACCACGUAGUCUUGAAAUAGUAGUGCGGCUAUACCAAAUAUACCAUUUGCCCCUGCAUUUAACAGAAAAGUAAACAAAAUUGACGGUAGAACUAUUUGUCCUAACGAAACUGCAGUUGAAAGACCAUGAGAACGAUUUUGAAAAUUGAGGGACUCAAAUGAAAAUUGGGUCUAAGUUCAAGAACCAAUAAAACGAUUAACCCAUAGAUUUUGGAUCCAGUACCACAUCCCAAAGAGAAAACCACAAGUUUGCAAGCAAGUUUGUCCAUAAUAACACUACGUACAGUAUGGGCAGUGCGCUAGACUCAUCUCACUUUCUCAACCUAUCCUAUAGUUGUCUAAAAGAGUUUCUAAUUUAAUGUACUGAGAUUUACGAAAGAAAUAUCAGAGAAACAAUUUUCAGGCAAUAAAAAAAUGUCUUGGCAAGAAAAUGUACAAUUUGUUACAUAACUUAUUAAAUAUGAACAGUUGAAAGAAAAAAGAAUCUGGAUGAGGGAUUUGCAAAUUCCUAUGGCCCAAUUACCUUUUUUUCUUUGUUGUUUUUUUUUUUUUUUUUUUGGUUCUUUUGAUCCAGUAGCAUAUUCCAAAGAAUGAAAACCACAGGCAUGCAAUGCAAGCUCUUUUCCCACGUUUUCCUCUGUUUUUCUCCUAUCAUGGAAGUGAUUAAAACACACCUCUAAGCUUGUUUUGCGUUUGGUAGCCGAGUGUAAAAGCUCAAUGCAAGAUAGUUUGAGGUAGAAUUUUCUCCUAUUUUAUUAGGACAAUGAUAAUUAAAAAAAAGUGUGAUUCAUUGAAUAUUUGCGGGGUUUUGUUCAGACCUGACAAAGUUCUAAGUCAACACAUCAAAUUCCUUUUUCCAACAUGCAACAAUUGUAUUUGAUUCCCAAUUUUUUCUGAUAUACAUCACAUCAUGCCACUUGCAUCAAAUGAAUUUAAUUGAGUGAGGCAAUGGGAAGUAAUUAAGCUCUGUAUUCGUGGGUGGAGUGUUACUUCUGGAACCCUAAUAAUUCGUCCCUACAGGACUCUAGAACUCUCAAACUUCUUACAAGGACUACUUAACUCUAUAGCUUAAUGCAUAUAGCAUAUAUAUGCAAACACAAUUAGAAAUUCUACAACAGAAGCAAGAUCAAUCUCACUAUGCCUUCUAAACAAACAAACAAAUAAAACAAGCAUAUUAAUUGCUUUAAUCACUCUACUAACAUCAACACAGCACACUUAGUUUACUAACAGAUGAUAUAGAAAGGAAAAAAAAGGACCAAUAGGGAGAAAAUGGUGAACUAAGGAGAGACUAAUACUUCUGGUCCUUAGAAGGCAUAACAGAAAUAAUAGAGCACACUGCUUGAAUGCAAGUCAGUAUUAGGAGCAAAACAGCUGCAAUGAAAGAAAUAGUUGCCCAAGGUGUAUUGAAAUAAUGUUGCCUCAAAUUUGCCUUCCAUUUGUUCCAAGGCUUUCUGCAGUAGCUAUUAAGGCGCUCAGAAAGAAUAGCAAAGUAGAAGCUUUCACGAUACACUGCAAUUCCUUUUCCGAGGUUGUUAAUCAGAGUGCACACCUCAUUGUAGUCACCAAGCAUAUUUUUGACAAUCCCAUCCUUCAGAAGGAACUCCACAUCCUUUUCGGUGUUCACAAACUCAUCCAUGAGUGAAACAUAAUCACUUAUGUAAUUCUUACGGCAAUGGCACUAUUCAAAGGCAAUGAGGUUACGGAGUGUGAGCUCUGUGUAAUCGUGUAUUUUUAGUUUUGGAAUUUCUAGAAUCCCAUCGUUGAAUUGUGUUAACGCAGCUUUCCUUUCCUAGCCUACACGGAAGUCAACUUCACAAUCUCCUCCUAGCAAUUAGUCUUUCCUGCUGUAAAUCAGAUUUCCUACUGUAAAUCGGAUUGUAUUCAUGUCUAUAUUAUUUCCUACUUUAAGUAGAUAUCUUGUACUAGUAUAAAUAGGGACUUUGUGUAAUCUGUUAAAUACAAGGAAAUAUAUACUCUGCAUGGUAUCAGCCUAACCUAGGGUUCUCUCUCUCUCCCUUAUUCGAUCCUCUUCUCCUUUAGGUCCACCUCAUGGCUUUGUCUGAAUCCACCAUCUCCCUCCCAAGCCCCAACUCUUCUAUUUUAUCAAGCUUAUUGACUCCAACUAUCUUCUUUGGCUCCGCCAACUCAAACCCUUUUUAGUCGGCCAUGACCUCUGGAAAUUUAUCGAUGGCAUUCAUAAACAACCUUCUGCCCACACCUCCACCUCUACCACCGCAACACCCACAACCACCACCACUCUUACCCAAAUCAAUCAUGCCCAUGCUCAGUGGUACCAACAAGACCAACUCAUUGUUAGCUACAUCACCAAUACACUCUCUGAGUCCAUUCUCUUUCUCACUGUUGGUUGCACCUCUGCCCGGGAUCUCUGGGAGUGUCUCCAACGCCACUUCUCUCAAUCCAGUAUGGCCAGUGAAUCUACUCUUCGUUUUAAACUCAUGGAUUUGCAAAAAGGCUCUGAACCCACUUAUGCUUACAUUCGUCAUGCUAAGUCCUUUGCCGAUUCACUGGCUGCCAUCAAUGAACCUGUCUCCCCAAAAGAACUUGUCACUACUGUGCUUUGGGGUUUAAGACCCUAUUGCAACAUCCUCGUCACAGCAAUUCUCAAUUUCCCUCUGCUUCCUAACUUUGCUAAUCUUCGUGCUCGUUUGUUAGCAUUUGACGCACAGACUCCUUGAAUCUCUCCUGAUCAAAACACAGCGCAAAUGGCCACCCAAUCCUCUCCUCACACCACCGGUCAUACUUCCUUCCCUUCUCACCGUGGUGGUGGCUCUUCCAACAACAGGCGUGGUGGCCUCGGUGGCUGGCGCAAUAGCGGCCGGGGUGGCUGGCGCAGCUUCUCAUCUUCCUGGAGCAACCCGUGGAAUGGCUUCCAGCAGCUCCAAUGACCUAAUCAACCAUGGCCUCCUUUUGCUCCAAGUUCUGGAUCUCAAAGCAACUGGCCUUCCUUUCAGCCUCCUUGGGCCUAAUCUGCCGCUUCUAUCAAACACUUUGCCCGGCCCAACUCAGCUCCUGGUGUCUUGGGACCCGCUUGGUGCACUACCUGCAAUACCAAUCACAUACUACUACAAUAUGUCCUCAUCGCUACAAUGGCCCAGAAUCCUUUCUUUGCUAGGGCUCAAUUCAUGUAGCCACCUGACUCUACUUGGUACCCUGACACAAGUACCACUCAUCAUAUGAUUGGUAGUCCUUCUAAUCUCCAAAAUCAAUCCUUCUAAUCUCCAAAAUCAACAGCCAUAUCAGGUUCAUAAUUCUGUAUUUCUUGGUAAUGGAGAUUCUCUCCCUAUCUCUCAUACUAGCUCUCUCUUUUGUCUUCCAUCUCUUCGUACUAAUCUUCUUUUUGUUGCCCAUUUUACUUGUGAUAAUUUAGUUUUCUUUGUCUUUACUCUUGACUUUUAUCAAAUCUAUGACUUAUGUACUGGUUCGUUACUCUUUCAGGGCCCUUCUAAAGAUGGUCUUUACCCACUUUCCAUCUCCUCUCACUCAUCCAUAGUCCCCCAUGCCCUUACCACCGUGCACUCUCCUGCUUGGCAUCAUUGCCUUGGCCAUCCAUUCCAUCGUGUGCUCUCUCAUUUAGCGCCAUCUCUAGGCUUUAAAGUUUCUCAUGCUUUCUGUAAGGAUUGUGCACUUAGCAAAUCCACCAAACUGUCAUUUCUUAGUAAUAAAACCUUUGCCCCAUCUCCCUUUUAUUUAAUUCACUCUGAUGUAUGGAUGUCCUCGGUCAUUUCUGUCACUGGUUAUCGCUAUUAUGUCUUGUUUACAGAUGACUUUUCUCGUUACUCCUGGAUCUAUCAUAUGCACCGUAAAAAUGAGGUCUUUUCUCACUUUCAAACCUUUCUUGCUAUGGUUAAAAAUCAAUUUCACACCACUGUACAAAUUCUUUAAAGUGACAAUGGCACUGAAUAUGUUAAUAAUGCUUUCUCUGAUCUUUGCAGUCAACUAGGCAUCCACCAACGUUUCACAUGUCCCCACACUCCCCAACAAAAUGGCCUAGCUGAACAUAAACACAGACACAUUGCCACCAUGAUCUGUCCCCGGUCAUUUAUUCAACCAUCUUGACCUUUUGCUUGAUCAUUUUCCACAAGCAACCGUCCACGUACCCCAAUAAUUUAAAAGGGCUGAUGAUCUUUAAUUUGGUGAAAGCUUCUAUCUACCUACCGUGCUAUAUAUGAGCUAUGCAAUCGUGACCGUGUUACAUGACGUCCCAAUGUCGUAGGGAUAAAAAAAUAAUAGUCAUGGUUUUCUUAUUAAUGUCAAUACAUUCAUAGCAAAGAGCUUGUAGCUCUAGUGGUUAAGAGCAAUUACCCAUGCACUUGAGAUAUUUUGUGUUUAAAUCCCCUCUUCCCCAAUAUUUCUUGUAUAAAAAUAAAAAUAACAAUAAUAAUGACAUUAAUGUUGUAUUCUAUAAAGUGUUGGACAUGUUUUAUACCCCUUUCUUGCAAAUUACAGUUUGCCACGUGUACAAAAAUAAUAGAUAAGUGUUGGACAUCAAGAGCACUUACAUAUAGGUUUAAUAGGUAAGUUUUGAAUAUUUCUGUAUUUAGCUUUAAAUAUUGAAAAUCAACCUAUUAGCAUAUUAAAGAUUUGUCCAUAUUCGACGUACAUUCUCUUAUUUUUCUCUCAUUGAAGUAAAUACAAAACUAAGCACAUAGUGGGAAAGUGCGUCACGAUUAGGGGUGGGUUUAGUCUAGGUUGGUUCAUUUUUGGGCUCAAUUUGAACACCGAACUGUAAGCUUCGGUUUGGCUAUUUUGGAAACCGAAACCAAACCAUAAUUGAUGAAAACCGACCACUUCGAUUACCUUCUGGUCUUCCAACCAGAAGAAAACUCAAAACUUUAACCAUACCAAGUGCAACAGAAUUACACCAGGCUGGAUUCAAGUUUAUGAUGGUUAAAGAUAAAAACUUAUUUGACAUACAAUUUGAGAAUGGAAUCCUCAAAAUUCCACACCUGCGAAUACGGGGUUUAACAGAAAUUUUCUUCCGCAAUCUUAUUGCCUAUGAGCAGUGUGAGCUUCAUGAUCAUUACAUCAACGACUAUGUCUUCAUCAUGGACCGCCUGGUCGACAGUGCCAGGGAUGUGGAAUUGCUUGUGAAGAGUGGAAUUCUUGAAUCUAUGCUACCGGACAGCGAGGCAGCAGGGGAAUUUAUUAAUUCUCUUGACUUGGGGCCUAUUUUAGGCAAGCUUGAAACAAGACUAUUUCAGUUCACCAUGGGCUGGCCUGUCUAUUAUUGUAGCCGCUAUACUAGUUGUGCUCACAUUUAUUCAAACAGUGUGCUCCGUAAUGGCGCUGUAGGUUCUUCAUUUCCUCAAUUUCAUGUUUAGUGGUUGCAGAUUUGUUGCUCAUGUACGUGUUUAUCUAAAGUUAAAUAAGAGUGAUUGACUGGAUUGACUGUUAGUCUGUUAGUUUGUUUUUCUGGGGUUUUUCCCCCCUGUUCGUCAAAAAAAAAAAUAAAAGAGUGAUGGCUUGUGCCUAUGAAAAUUACUUAGGAGUAUGCUCCACAGAGCCAAAAUAAAUAAACUAGGGAAGUGGAGGUUCUUCUGUUUGUAUAUAAAUGAGCAAUUCAAACUCUCAGUGCCAAGGGAGUUACCCUUGAUACAUUUGUUAAAAAUUAUAUAUUUGGUCUUACAUCAAACAAAUAAUUUGAAGGGCUUUUUUGACAACUGCUGACAGCGUUUGGCAGAAAAGUUUAGAAGCGCUUCUACGCUUCUAGAUCAUAAAAGUGCUUUACCAAAAAGCACUUAGAUUUCUUAUGAAAAUUUCAACAUUUUUAUAAUAAAAGCGCUUGCUAGAAGCACUUAUAAGCAGAAGUGCUUCAUAGAGAAGCAGUCCCAAACGAGCUUGAUUUUCAAAUGUGCUGCUUAAGAAGAAAUUUAAUACGUUUUGAAAACAAAAAAAAAUACGAAAUUUAAUACGUUUGUUUUACAAAUUGUAUUAAUUGUUAUCAAUAAUACUUGUGCACACCCACAACAUACUUCUUUCUUUCUUUAUUUUCCUUCAGUACAGUUCUGCCUUUCUUUAAUUAUUUUUAACGAAUGCAAAGAGUUUGUCACAAAAUCAAGGAUUGAAAAAAAAAGAGAGUAAAUUAUGUGCUAGAGAAACUUUCCUGCAGAAAUUGAAGAACAACUCUAGUUUCUCUCUUUCGCCUUGUACUCCCGCACUGAGGUUAGUAUUGUUAUAAUGUGCAGAUUAUACGGUCACUCUUGUAUAAUGGCGAGAAGGCUCUAAUUAUAUUUUUGAACCUCUUUGACAGGACCCGCCCCGAAUUUCCCGAAACCCAAGACGAAUUCUGUGGAAAUUCCCUACAUCACCCCGAUGUUGGGCCCACUUCUAAAACUAUAUCAUUUUUCCUAAAAAGGAAUAAGGGCACGAGACUUUCUACCGAAAUUUCGGCAGAGUCUCUCCUGUAAAUUGAACAUUUCCCAAAAUUUCAACCUGCAUAAAACACAUUUUAUAUUACCCAACUGGCAGCAUGCACAAAAUAAUAACAUGCAAUUCACAUAAACGGCCUCUGGCCCUCCGGUAAUUCAGAGCAAUGCAAACUAGCAACUCUAAACCUAAUAAAACAACAUAAGUAACAUUUAGCCAGCGGCUGCACCCAGGCACUACCCUAGGCUACCUACGUACCCUUACUAAGGGAUCAAGCCACACGUAGUUCUUUCAUACAAAAUUUCCAAAUCCAUCAACAUGCAAUCAAUUACAGAAUCCCAAACAAAAUCUUUCUCAAACAUCAUUAGUUCCCAACUCAGUAUAAUAAUCCUUAAUUCAUCUCUGUAAUAAUCACAAUAUCUCCCCAUACGCCGGAACUACCAACACCACGUAUGGAGCCUGCCUGUACGCCAGAUAACCAACGACACGUGGGACCUCAUCAUCAUAUCACAUAAUCUCCCCAUACGCCGAAACUACCAACACCACGUAUGGGGUCUGUCAACACGCCGGAUAACCUACGACGUGUGACCUCAACAUCAAAUCACAAUAUCUCCCCAUACACCGGAACUACCUACGCCACGUAUGGGGUCUGUCCACAUGCCGGAUAACCUACGACACGUGGGACCUCAUCAUCAUAUCACAUAAUAUAUUAACGAUCAAGAAAUAUCACUACGGUCAUUUAAUCCUCCUGGGAAGGUAAAACUAUCUCAGGAGACUCACGGUCAACCAAGGGUCAAACUACCUCAUACUUGGACAAACGAGCCCACGGAGCCCACAACCUCCGUUUUACUAUCCAAGAGUUCCUAUAGGUUCUACAAGGUUUAGGAUACACGGCUUGCAAGUUUGGUCAAGAUCAGACGGUCGGAUCGCUCACGAUAGGACGGUUACUGCAAACCUAGCCCUAGGGUUGGCAUUUUCGGAGUAUCCGAAACUCCGUUUUACGAUCUGUCGAAUCAUAGACGAUCCUAAGGAUUUGCAGACUAACUAUAAUAAAUUCAAGACCAUCCAACGGUCUAAACCUAUCGAACCCGGAUAACGCGCAAUAGGCAAUAUCCAAAUUGAAAUCCGAGCACACCUACGCACUCGUGAGGACUAGGAGAUUACAUCGGGACAUAGUGCCCUUUUUCUACAGUGCCCAUGAGCCGCCGCACGCACCAGCAACGCGUGGGUGCCCAAAGCGAUUAUGCAUCGCCAAAAAAUCUCAAAACCACGGCUCAAGACUCCUACCCUAGGUAUAACACCCUAUUUGGAACCACUUUUGUUCUUGGACCUACCCCAAAAACUGAUCAGAAGUGGCCGGAAUGGCUGAAAUGUAAUUCAAAAAUCAAGCUACCAACGCUCAAAAUCGAUGCAAUCCUACCCAACCAUCAACUAGAUUAUGAAGAAUGGAUAAAUUUCCAUACCUUGAUCGCCAACAAUGGCGGCCGGAGGAGAGAGAUCUGAUCCGGCGAAGUUCGAGUGAAAACGGCCAAAAAUCAUCUUUUUCAGGCGGCUGGAGGGCGACCGAUGUCAGGGAAGGGCAGGGUCGUGACGCUAAGGCUGAGCCUGUCCUUUUGGCACCGGUCCCUUCCGCAGCCGUGUCCGGUGGCUGGAGUUUCGAAGAGAGAGAGAGAGAGAGAGAGAGAGAGAGAGAGAGAAAUCUGAUUUUUAUCAAACCUUUUUGCCAAAAUUACGGUUAUGCCACUGAGGGUAUUUUGAUAGUAUCUCUCUCGUUACAACUUCGAUUCGAGCCCACCACGUGUGUACGGACUCAUCUAACUGUGUUGUACGCAACGGUAUAGUCGAAAUUCCCAAAUUAUUUCCUUGUCAAAAAGUCAACUUUAAACAUUAUAAAAUAUUUUAGGGAAAAAAUGGUAUUUUCUCUCAAUAAAUUAGUAACUAAUUUAUUUAGGACUGGGUCAUUAUACUCUUUUUCGCUUCAAUGGAUGGGAAAAAAUUUUAUGUAAUAUCCCACAUCGACCAACGAAGAGGGGGCGAUGUGUCUUAUAUGUACAUGCCCGCCUCCAUCUAGCAUAAGGCCUUUUGGAAGCUCACUGGCUUCAGAGUCAUGGGAACUCCGAAGUUAAGCGAGUUGGGGGCUAGAGCAAUCCCAGGAUGAGUAACCCACUGGGAAGUUGCUCGUGAGCUUCGAGAAACAAAACCGUGAGGGCAGAGAGAGGGGCCCAAAGCGGACAAUAAGGCCUCGUGCUAGAUGGAGGCGGGCAUGUACAUAUAAGGCACAUCACUCUCUCUCCGUUGGUCGAUGUGGAAUGUUAGAAUGGAAUUGUUACCUUUGGUGUGGAGGUGUUCUAUCAUUUGAGCAAGAAAUUCCCACAUAUUCUUCAACUAUUUUUCAAGCAUGCAUAUUCCUCCCUAUCAAUCUUUGGUUUCUUCCUUUACUGUGCAUAGUAAGGAUCCAGUCAGGGACGGACCGUCGCUAUGACUAUCCUGGGCUAUAGCCCAGGCAAAUUAUUUUUUUUUCUAGUCUAAAAUAGCAAUCCCACCGCUUGCUGUAGUACUUGUUCAGUUCGUCACAAACAUGAGCAUAAUAGAAGUUAUCAACAUCUAUAUAGGAACCCCAAUGAAAAGGCUGUUAACUAAUAAUGAAGUUAACCCGUCAAUUUUUCCGCAUAUCAGAUAUCUCUCAGAAUAUGCGAUUCCAUAUUCAAUAAGCCACUCCACAUGCCCUGAGGUUUUCAUCAAACCACCCAUUAAGGAAACAUACUGACUCAUGUAAUUAUCAUUACUCAUCGGGUAAUGCAAUUGUUCAAAGGCAAGGACAUUUCUCAUUAUUUAUGUAGCGAACCCCAAUGGAAAUGGUGGGAUCUUCAGAACCCCAUCGGUGCUACUGAAUUGUAUGUCAAAUAUGUUUUCACCUUGUCACGCCUCAAACUUGACUCCAGCGUGCUGUAAUUCUGUCAAGCUGGGUAUGGAUGAUGGGAGUUUGAUGCAGGAGCAUAGGGGUGGAUCAAGAUAGAUAUUUACUAUUUAAUUAGUUAUUUCAUGAUAUAUUGUUAUUUUCUUAUUUAGGUAGUUUUAUGAUAUCUUUUAUUAUUUAUGUGUGAUUUUAUAAUUAAUUAGUAUACUUUUGGACCAAGUAGCCUUGGUGCUCAAGUCUUGUAAAGCCUAUAAAUAAGGCUAAUGUAAUAGUUGUAGAAUAGAUGUCGAUGAUUAAUAAAAUCGUUUAUUUGUGGCAUGGAUUUGCUACGAUAUAUGUGAGUUUGCACUAGCCCUAGAUUUCAGUGCUCGUGUAUGUGGUUGGUGACCUGUGUCCGGAUCCCGAUCCCCAUCAAUUGGUAUCAGAGCUAUGGCUCAAGAUCUGCUAUAUCGGGGAGGUUUUUGGAUGGAGGGUCGUUUUAACAACUACAACGACAUGGAGGAAAUUAGGAGGAUGCUACGGCAACUUAUGGAACACAUUGCUCGCAUUGAAGCUCGAACCCAGAUAGGUAAGAGUUCUGACGGGGAGGGAUGUGUGAACCCUUAUCUGAACCGAGUAGCUCGCAUCGACACUCUAAGCCGUGAGAGUCUCGACGGGGAGUACGAGGGAGAUAGCCCUUUUCAUUAUUGUGCUCCGCUGUGUGAGUCAAGUGAAGAGGGGCACGGUUAUUCUCAUUGUGUCUUUGAAGGUAUAAAUGAAUUUAGUAAUUUUGGUGCAUCUUGUUAUUCAUCAAAGUUAUUAAAUUUGGAUUUACCUCCAUUAUUUGAUCCUUGCAAUUGUGAAAAUUGCAAUAAAAAUUGUUUGGGUGUUCAAAGCAAUUUUGAUAAGCAAUUUAUUGACCAGAACAGUGAAGAGAUGAGAAUUGAGAAAACUUUCGAAGAUAUUAUUGAUUUUAUGGGCAUUAAUAUUUUCACUUGGAAGGUUGCCAAAAAUCUGGUUGAUUUUGUCAAUCGGUUGAAGAUUCUAGAGAGAAACAUUUGCAUUGCUAGAGGGAGUAAGAAGUCAAGAAUAACGAAAUAUUCCAAAUAUCUUUUUAUUUGGAAAGGAAGGUUUCAAUUGGAUGCUAAAAGAUCCAAAAUUAAUAUGCAGCAAUUGAAGAUUCUACUCGGAUUUUCCUUAAUCAAAGGCUUGAAUUCGAGGACGAAUUCUUUCCAACUAUGGGAGUCUGAUGCAGGAGCAUAGGGGUGGAUCAAGAUAGAUAUUUACUAUUUAAUUUGUUAUUUCAUGAUAUAUUGUUAUUUUCUUAUUUAGGUAGUUUUAUGAUAUCUUUUAUUAUUUAUGUGUGAUUUUAUAAUUAAUUAGUUUACUUUUGGACCAAGUAGCCUUGGUGCUCAAGUCUUGUAAAGCCUAUAAAUAAGGCUAAUGUAAUAGUUGUAGAAUAGAUGUCGAUGAUUAAUAAAAUCGUUUAUUUGUGGCAUGGAUUUGCUACAAUAUAUGUGAGUUUGCACUAACCCUUGAUUUCGGUGCUCGUGUAUGUGGUUGGUGACCUGUGUCCGGAUCCCGAUCCCCAUCAGAGUUCCCCUCCAGCUUUUGAUUCCAACGGUUGAUAGAGUUUAAAUAUUUUCCUGAAAAGAUCAAUAAUAUGUGCCACUGAUCUAAAAGUCUCCAAAUUGUCUUCCAAUUUGUCAACAGGCAAUAGAUGUUCGAAGAAACUGAAAGAAAUACAAAUUAUUGAAAGCCCCUCAGUAAUGCUGUUAUUGUCAGCAUUAGCAGGGAGUGUAAUUUUCUGUGGGUCGAAAAGAUCCUCGAGAAUGAAGAAUGGCAACUGAUUUUCAAGCAACCACGUAUCUGUCCAUGCAUCUUGCAACAUACCUGGUUUGUCAAAUAUGCGGUCAUUUUCGUCCCAAAAUUUGAAGUAGUCCUUCAAUAAGGGCUCAAUAACGAAGGCGGCGCCCACUAGAAUGAUUGUUACAAAUUCAUCACUGCUAAACUUGAUGGGUUCUCCAUAACAACGUCUCAAUCUUGCUUCGUGGUCCUUUAUUUUCUUAAUAUAAUCCUCCAAACUCACAUUGGUCCGACCUAUAAAAUCUUGCAGGUAUCUCUGUUUGUUCUCUUCCAAUACGACAUUCAAGCCUUCCUUUCCAUGGUGAAGUGGACCUAUAGAGACCGACUGCCUGAGGUGUGCAGAGCUUUUCAUUCACACAUACGUAGAUAAAAUGUCUGGGGGCUCAGAGAGUGAUGAAUGUGCAACAGCUAAUGGGAGGGUUUAUAUUCCUGAAGUAAGAAAUGAGGAAACACCAGCAGUUGGGAUGAAGUUUGACUCGCUUGACCUCGUUUACAAUUUCUAUAAUAGAUAUGCAUUCUUGGCUGGCUUUGGUAUUCGACUUCAUUCUAGCUUUUGGGGGAAAAAUAAGAAAGAGAUUUUGAGGAAAGAAUUUGUAUGUUGCAAACAAGGUGCAUACAAGAAGGAUGAAACUCGGGAGAGAAAAAGACAACGGGGAAUAAGUAGAUGCAAUUGCAAAGCAAAGAUUGUGGUUGUGAAGACAAAUGGGAGCAAGAAGUAUACCAUUUCUCUUUUUGCAGAGGGACACAAUCAUAAGAUGACACCCUCAGAAAGAAUGCAUUUAUUGAGAUCACACCGUCAUAUUUCAGAUUCUACAAAAGUACUCACAAAACAGUUGGGUUCAGUUAAUAUUCCCAUUCAUCAGAAGGUAAGUAUAUUCGAGGUGCAAUCCGGAGGAAUGGAUAAAAUCGGUUUUAUCAAAAAAGAUAUCUACAAUCUUGAAUGUAGUGUGAAUGGGAAGCUGAGGAACCACGAUGUUGAACUAGUGACCGAGUAUUUUAUGGCUGAACAGAAAAAAAAUGAGGCUUUUUAUUUCAAGAUUGAGGGAGAUGGGCAUGACAGGUUUAGUCGAUGUUUUUGGGCAGAUGCAACUUCUAGACGGGCGUAUGGGUUUUAUGGAGAUGUUGUUGUAUUCGAUACCACAUUCAACACGAAUCGAUACGACUUGACAUUUGCACCAAUGUUGGGAGUUAAUAACCAUGGUCAGACAAUUGUCUUAGCAUGCGCAUUUUUGAGCAAGGAAACGACUGAGUCGUUUGUUUGGAUGUUUGAGGAGUUUAAGAAAGCCAUGCCAGGUGGGGAACCUAAAACGAUCAUUACAGAUCAAGAUGCGGCAAUGGCCAUAGCGAUUUCAAUAGCCUUCCCGAGUACAUUUCAUCGACUUUGCAUAUGGCACAUCACAUCAAAGUUCUCUGUUAAGUUACCACGUGACGCUUAUAAGGAGUAUUGGCCUGAAUUUCAGAAAGCCAUAUGGGAUACUGACAAUAAGGAUGAGUUUGAUGCAAAAUGGAAUAUUGUGGUUAUAAAGGCUGGUUUGACUGACCAUCCAUGGCUAAGUUCAAUGUUUGAUUUAAGGGAAUCUUGGGUUCCAGCCUACGCACGACAAUUUUUUGCCGCUGGAAUGUCAAGCAGCCAAAGAGCGGAAGGUUCUCAUGGUUUUUUCAAGCAAUACAUAUCAAGGAGAAAUUCGUUGAUGGAUUUCAUAAUACGAUUUGAGAGGGCAUUUUCUCAUCAACGUGAAAAAGAGUUAGUUGCUGAUCACGUAGAUGCAUUUGAAGUGGCUCAAUGUCUUCUACCGAUGCCAAUGAACAAACAAAUGGCUACCUUGUACACAAGGACAAUGUUUCAAAAGUUUGAGCAAGAACUAAUACAAAGUACAGCAUGUUUCCUAGAGCUCAAAACAGAGGAUGCAUGUAAAGUUGUGUUCAACGUGAGCGAAAGGAAAAAUUGGGAAACAAGAGUGGCAGAAGUCGUAUAUGUCAAAGAUUCUGACCACGCAUCGUGUAGCUGCAAAAGAUUUGAAUUUGUUGGAAUUAUUUGCAAGCACAUCCUAGCAUUGUUCAGAAGGGACCAGAUUGAAUAUAUGCCCGAUAAAUAUAUUUUGAAGAGGUGGAAGAAAACUGCGAAAUGUGGAUUGGUGUCAGAUGCAAAUGGCAACGAAAUUAAAGACUGUGCAGAUCCUGGCCUUCUAAUAAAGCGGAGUACAAUGUCUCGACUUGCUUCAAAUGUGGUUGAGGAUGCAUUAAUGAGUGAAGAAGGAUGUGAGCUACUGUCAGAGACUCUAAAAAGUUUGCAGGUGAAGUUGAAGUUGCUGAAGGAUGGACCAAGUAAUAACGAAGUUGGAGGGUCCAGCUCUCAAACACAAUAUAUGAAAGACCCUAAGAGAGUGAGGUGCAAAGGAAGGUCGAAAGGAAUAACGGGAGCAAAGGAAAAGGCAAUGAAGCGAGGGAUUAGACACUGUCGGGAGUGUGGACACAUUGGUCAUGAUAGAAGACAAUGCCCAGCCUUGAACACACCGUAAGAUGCUACCACUAUUUGUAAUAAUAUCUAAAAUAUGAAAAGGUAAAAUUUUUAUGUGCUUGUGUUUGAUGUUUAUGCAGGACAUCACCGUCGAACAAUGACAAAUCAACUCCAAUACAUCGUAGUGACCCAUUAUUCGACGAUUUUGACAAGAUGCACAGACCAACUGAAUGAUUGAUAUUUGUAUUAGACGAAAUGUGGUUGUUAUGAAGAUUAAUGAUCAAGUGAAGUUUUAUAGAUUCAGUUUUUGAAUGUUAUUGUGUUUUUGUUCAUGUCCACCGAUGAGCUCUUACUAUGUCCACUGGUAAUUGAAAUGAAAAUUUUCUUGGUUUCAUUCUUCCAAGACAUUUGGAGACAUGUUAAUUUUACGUCUUCUCCCUAUUUAUAAAUUUUCAUAGACAUUUGAUCAAGUUUGAAAUUUGUAGUUAUGUGAAGAAGCAAUGACUCUUACCAUGUAAAAUGGGCAGUUUAGGGUGAAAUUUGUUUUAACAGAGAUUCAUUUUUCAAUUCCUCAGGGUAAUGCAGCAAUUACAGCAGCCAGCUGUUGUUUCCAUUACCAGUAAUCAUUUCCAGCAGCAGCCACUUUUUCCGACUGGUUAUUAGGGGCACGAUUUUGUACACUUUUGUAAGUGAAGGAUACUCGAAGCACUUUGUUGGAACAGAGCAAAUAGAAACCAGCGGGUAAAAAAAAAACAUAACAUUGCAGCUAAUUACAUUUCGAUACAUAGGUGAAAAAUAUUAAAGGGUACACUAACUUACAUAAAUACUCAUAAUUCCACACACAAAAGAACAUUUGAUUGCAAAACAUAUUAUGUGCUUCCUCAUAGCAAUACCACGAUCUCCCCAACCAACUGAACAACGGUAGCCACAAUCACUGGGUCGUACUCGUCAGCUUCUUCUUAGCAGGUCUCACAUGCUUAUGGCCACUCAUAUCCCUAGUGAUAUACACGAAAUAAAUCUUCAGCAAUAUUUGGAAUUUUAUUAUAUAUAAAUAAACCAUAAACCAUUCAGUAAACAAUGUAUAGCACAUGUUAUGUAACUUAUGACUCACGUGUCAGUUUUUUUUUUAACACAUUAGUACUCCAGCUCUUUAAUGUAAAUGGACAUGAUAAGGAGCAUUUACUGAUUCCCGGCUUUCUAUGAUAUUGACUGCUUCUUGAAUAAUAUUUCCAUAUUUGCAAAAUAUAAUGUUAGACAUUAUAACACAUGAUGACUUGCAAUACAUAGUCCCAAUAAUUAUAUAUCAAGCAAAUGAAACUGAUAUUUGUGUUAUUUUAAGUUAGAUAAUGACAUUAAGGGAGUAUAUGUGCAAUACCACGGUCACCCUCAACCAACUGAACAGCGGUAGCCGCAAUCACUUAGUCGUAUCGGUCGGCUUCUUCCGAGCAGCUUUGACGUGCUUAUGCUCAUUCAUGUCACCCCCAUCGUCUAGUAUCUCUCUCACAGCAUCAGGGGACACAUAGUUCCAAUCAUAACUUGUAUGAGUAGUUGCCGCAAAUGCUCGGAAUUUGUCGAAUCCUUCGUUGAAUGCCAACUCCAGUUCAGUAUGGUGCUCUUCGCAUCGCAUAUGGUUCAUCAAACAACCUUUGAUUUCAUCAUUCAUUACUGUAUCCAACUCCUCAGCUUUCAGCUUCCUGCUAUGACUCAGCUUCAAGUACUUGUUCUUUUGGGAUAACGCUUUGUUCACCCUAAUGUUAAGAUCAGCCAAAAUUGCCUCGUCUUCAACACAUUUCUCGUGCCAUGAAUUGAUCAGUCUGGAAUUAUAAUCCAGCUUGCCACUGACUGCAUGUAUUGCCUGUAAUGGAUCAUCGGAGUCCCCCUCACUCCCAAAUGAUGUUGAAAAAGGAAGGGGUCGGCGAGUACAAUGUGGAAAUAGAACCUGCCACUCCAAUUUGUCAUCUUCGAUUGUGUUGUUGGCGCCUGAAGAGGUUGACAUGCUUGAAUAAUCCUCUUUGUUUUGGGAGGAUGAGGAUUGCAUAUGCAAUUUCGUUUGAGAAAGGGAACAUAGGUUUAUAGACCAACAUACCAAAGCUUGUGUGUAGUCAACAUAUGUACUUUUUGGCGGGAAUUUUUUAAAAAUAGGUGUUAGGUUUUGCUUUUCAAGCAUGUCAACCUCACACUCUCCUGACACCACUGCUAGUGGUUGAAACAAAGUCAAUGGAAGUGACAUCUACUUAGUUAACUCAACCAAACUAGUUAGGAUUAAACUUAGAUUGUAUCAGACCAAAAAAUAAUUUCUACUUUGUCAACCAAAUAUUUUUUGGCGGGAACCCUUUUCUUGGUAUUACUAUCACCCCUUUCAUAUAAAAUCUCCUUCCACACAAAACUCACUCCUCCACCGAAUCUGUCUCCAUCUACCGAUACUCUCUCAAGCAAACAAACUCAUUCCCCCCAAAGAAUGAGCAUAAGCACAACCAAGUUUGAUGUGAGCAUAAUAAACACCCCUCCAAACAAAGACCGGCUUCGACACGCAAGUGAGUCACCGGACAAGCAAUGUCACAUUGCUAGACAGAAUGACCAUUUUGUUGGAAGUUUUGAGUCUGAAAGAGUUGUUGCUUUUUGGAAGGAGAGGCAUCUUCAACUUGGUGAUGAAAUCCAAAGGGCAAGGGCACGUUUGGAAUUUGUGGAAGGCCAAAUUGAAGAUGACAAAAGGCAGGCCAAUCUGGAUAGGGCGAAGUUGUAGCGCAUGAAGCGUAGACACAAACGACUUCGGAGUGUAGCUGUUCAAAAAUACAAGAACUCAUCUAAUGUAGUGGAGUCAAAGAAGCGUGUGAUGCAAGCUGGAUUCGACUACUUCCGAUCCUAUGCAAAACUCGUCGUACCCGGGUUUGAUUGGUCAUCUAUUACCGUUUCCGACGUCACCAAAUAUACUCAGCAAGGGAAGUAACCAUUUUGGUUCUCGUGUUUUAGCAGAGGCAAAUAAGUGGAAUUGGAAUUUUGGUUACACUCUGCUUCAAAGCUAUUUUGAUGCUAACUACUAUGGAAGAUUUAAACCUUAAUAUUUUGAUGUCUUUAAUUACGAAAACAGAAGAUGCAAAGAGCUCAUCUACUUCAGCCAUAUGUUGCUGCCAUGUCCAUUUGUUUUUGAUCACUUAUCAGAUUUGGACAUGGUUGCAUCAUAUGCAAUGUUGCCUUUAUUUAUUAUAUGUUAGGACAAGGUUUAUGGAAAAGCUUUUGUGAGUGCGUUUGUGACAAGGUUAUGGAAUUAUUAUGUACACUUUAUAUAUUGUUUUUUGUACUGGUUCAUUUCCUACUAUUUCUUGCUUUCUUUAUAUUUUAUGUUUGUGGAAUCCCUCUCAAAGUUAACAUAUACUGUGAAAAAAAUAUUAUGCAACUGAUUAUAUAAUCACUCAUAUAGACUAGGACAAAUAUUCACUAAGGGUUUUAAACUUGCUUCACUUGUGUGAUGUUAUUGACAAAAAGUAUGGCAUUAUUUAUGUGAUUUGACAUGAUUGAAAAUAUAUUACUGAUUCCCAAUGCGGCGUCAUAUGGACAACGUAUUGAAUACCUGUGACGUGUUAAUAACUCAAGGUGCAGUUGCAUGUGGACAACUUCUUGAAUACCUCUGACGUGUUGAAAACUCUAGGUGCAGUUGCAUGUGGACAACUUAUUGAAUACGAACUGACGUCUUCAAAGCUCUAGGCGUAGUUGCAAUGAUGGCUUCAAAGCAUGUGCAAUUAUUUUUUAUGUACAUUAUUAUAACAAAACAUAUUAUUGUAUAUAGUGAAACUAAAUAUUGUAUUAUUAGAAAUUAUAUUUCGAAUAUUAUCCGAAAUAUACGUGUUAACGUGAAUUUGGGUUAAGAGGAAAGUGAGUUAUGUACAAAUAAUUUUCAUUUUCUCAUUUUCCGGGCAUUUUUUGGAUUUUCGUAGAAUUUAUUACCUAUGUCCACAGAUUGUUGCACUAAAAAAGCCAAAAUAAUAGCAAGAGGACACCUGGAGCGAUCUCAGCCCGUCACUGAUGACUACUUGCACAAGUGUACGUCAGUCAACAUGGCCACACCCUCCCAUUUUACCCUAAAUUAUUAUUUUAUUACUUUUCCUUACAAAAAUCAGAACUAAUUACACACAAAAUAAAAAAAUUAUCCGAAAAUUGCUACGAACUCAUUGACACUCCAUCUCCGUUGCUGAAUUCUCCGAUUCAUUGUUACGUAUUUGUAAAAUUAAUUCCCAACAUUAACGGGAGAUGCUUGUUGAAGUAGGUUAUUCAAGUUGAAGUUAACAAACAUCAAUACUUAGGGUUAAGAGGAAAGUGAGUUAUGUAACACAAUUUGGAUUAUUUCAUUGCGAGACGAAUGAUUUAUAGGUUCUCCUAGUUUUAUGACGUCACAAGUAGGCCGGAGUAAUUUUUGGGGCAUUUUUACGAUUUUCCUACUAUUUUUUACCUAGUUUCAAAGAUUUUUGAACAAAAGAAUCCAAAAUGUAAAAGAAGAUGACACCUGGCGCGAUCUCAGCCCGUCACUUUUCACUACUUGCACAAGUGUACGUCAGUCAACAUGGCCACAUCCUCUCAUUUUACCCUAAAUUAUUAUUUUAUUACGUUUUGUCUUGGAAAAUUCAUAACUAAAUACACAAAAAUUCAAAAUUAUUUCUGAAAAUUGCUACGAACUCAUUGACACUCCAUCUCCGUUGCUGAAUUCUCCGAUUCAUUGUUACGCAUUUUUAAAAUUAAUUCCCAACAUUAACGGGAGAUGCUUGUUGAAGUAGGUUAUUCAAGUUGAAGUUAACAAACAUCAAUACUUAGGGUUAAGAGGAAAGUGAGUUAUGUAACACAAUUUGGAUUAUUUCAUUGUGAGACGAAUGAUUUAUAGGUUCUCCUAGUUUUAUGACGUCACAAGUAGGCCGGAGUAAUUUUUGGGCCAUUUUUACGAUUUUCCUACUAUUUAUUACCUAGUUUCAAAGAUUUUUGAACAAAAGAAUCCAAAAUUAACAAGAAUAUGACACCUGGCGCGAUCUCAGCCAGUCACUUUUGACUACUUGCACAAGUGUACGUUACCGAACAUGGCCACAUCCUCCCAUUUUACCCUAAAUUAUUAUUUUAUUACCUUUUUUCUUGGAAAAUUCAUAACUAAAUACACAAAAAUUAGAAAAACGAUCCGAAAAUUUCUACGAACUUAUUGCGAUUUCAUCUUCCUACUGCAUUCCCUGUUUAAUGGUUAUGCUACAUUAGUAUUUUAUUAUUAUUUAUCCACAAUUAUUAUAAUUAUUAUGAUAUUACUUUUUAGGCUGUCCAUUUGUUAAUUAUACCACAUCCAACUUGUUGAAAACAAUUUUAUUUUCCGUGCGAAUAGGCCAUUUGUAGUGCUUAUCGGUUUCUCUGUUCUUCAAUUUGUUAAUUUUUUUAUUUUUUAGGUUGAAGGGAUGUUUUGAAACAUAAUAUGGAAAUAUACAAGUCAUCCAUUGUACUCCUUCCACACAAAAAAAUAGUCUACGUCAUUCACUGUUCAACACCCUAGGUUAAGACACGUGUAACCAAAUCCGUUCGGAUAUGCUAAGUGGGAAAAUGUCAUUCCCAAGCACUGGUGAAAAGACACUUAUUUACUCCAUGCAUGACUUUUGGUUUACCAAAUAUGAAGAUUGGGGUCGGUGAGCAAAAUAUCUGUGUCAGUAAAAUGUCAUUCCUAGCCAUCUAUGAUGUAAGUAAUAAUUCCGCUAUAUAAUAAAUAUUAUACAUUUAUAUAUAAAACGGUUUAUGACAAAAUACCAACAUUUGAACAACAUUUAAACUGAGAUAGGUAUAACGUAGCCAGCCAACCUAGAAGUGAAGAGAAGCAAGUCCACAAUGCAUCAAAACUGUAAAUUCGUACUAAAACUAAUGCAAAAAUACGUGAUUCCCUCGCACAACUUACUCACGCAGGAUUUUGCACCAAAAAAUACUCUCACGGUGCCAUUUGCAUCGGUUGCAGCAAGUCCAAAACGCAGGAUUUAUCUUGUCUUCACUAGGCCACCCUGGAAUAACAAAAUACCAUUCAUUGUUGUUACAAGCGCUGCACCGAUUGAACUUAAUCUUCCCAUAGUCAAACAUAUCUACGAUAUGUCUUGCAACAAAUGCUCCGCGACAUCUUCCUGUUAAAGCAUCCCUGGUUCCUUUCAUAUCAAUGUUGUUACGUUGAUUCAAAGAACACAAGAAUUGUAAUGCAUCCUCUUUUGACUGACCAAUUCCGGACAUACCAAGUAGUCCAACUACAUAUGCCGCUUCCAUAUGGCCUGCCGUGGCUGCAAUGCGCAUCCCAUACAACGCUUCCACCUUACCGUCUGUGAAAAAACCUUCGAAUGCUUCUCUAAAUAUGGACUCAGGGUUAUCGCAAGCCCUGCAUUGUUGCAAGAAAUGCUGGACUGCAGGUUUGGCACGGUAGCAGAUAGGAUGGUGUGGGUACUUUGCCAUUGAAAUGGUGUUCCACACUUGUGGACUGUUUGCCAAAAUGUUGAACAAUCGGCACACACAUGCCAUACGGAAGAGAUCUUCCGAUGAUUCGGUUGCCACGUAUAACAUCACUUGAAACCAAGCGGACUCCGGGAUAAAGGCUUCGGGCAUAUCGAAAUGGAGAUGCUUCCUUCUCUUUCCUCCGACUGUAGUGAAGUGUUUCGAAUUCAUUGAAAAGUUUUUGGAAUGGAACGAUUUGAGGAGUGGCAGAGGGGAUAAAUGAUAAUAUUUGGGGUACACGUUCUACUUCCGAGCCUCUGUUUAUAGUGUUUUGAAAAGGUGUUUCCAGUUGGGGUUUUUCCAAGUUGACCCUUUUGAAAGAAACUGAAUCCAAGUGAAUUAAAACUUAAGACAAAAGAAGGGAAAACGUCAUAACGGUGCAUACAGAGUCAGACAGUUAAAAAGUUAAUUAAAUGGCUAUUUGCAUAGCCAUUUUUGGGUUUAUCCCACUAUCAAAUUCAUUGAUACAAAUGUGAUGGAUUACUGACUAGUGACAGAAGGUCCCAUCAUAUACUUUUUCAUUUUCGCACACCCAACUAUCCCUAGUAAUGUUAUUAAAAUGGAACCAAUAAUGACGGAUUCUUAUCCAACUAGUUGCCUUAAUGAAAUAUAAAUAAAUUAAUAAAAUUGAAGCAGUGUCCCGUCAUUAGUCAGAAAAUAUAUUUGGUAGUGAAGUAGUUUCUAUUGCUUUUCGGGCUAAAAGAUGUCACAAUGCUGACGGUACAGGUGUCGACAUCGUGACCAACCCACCAAAUGAUCCCAAAAAAAAGUAAUAUAACUCGAUUUGGGCAGAGAUGAGAGAGAGCUGAGUGACAAGUUUAGGGUUAUGAGUGAAGGGGUAUGAAUGACAACUAUGAGUGAGAAGGUAUGAGUCCGAAGAGGUUUCAGUGAGAAGAUUUGAGUGAGAAGAGGUACAACUGAGAAGAUUCAACAUGUCUUCGUCUUCAUCUCCUGCUCAAACAAAGAGGUGUCAGUAUUGUGGAGCUACAAUGGUGCUUCGGGUUUCAAAAUCUGAAAAAAAAUCGAGGGAAGCCAUUCUGGAAGUGUCUAACCUCCUAUGUAAGUUUUAAUUUAAAGAAUAUGUAUGUGGGUGAAAAAAAACCUAUGUCUAACUCUGACAGAAUUAUAUUCCAUAUAUGAUGCCUGCAAUUAGGGAGCCACCAGUUGCAAUGGAUUCGAAUGGGUUGAUGUAACCUCCGCUGAAGCAGAACAUCAAGAUGACACGUAUGAUGUUAGAGUGCUGAACAUGCUGAAGUCCAUUAAGGACUUGGUAUUAGUUUUAUUAGUUGUAUUAAUUGUCAUUUUAUUUGUUCUUUUAAUGAUCAUUUAACUGCACGGUUUAAAAGAUUGUGAAAGUUCUCUCGCACAAGACAUAUUGCACGCACCACCAAUGAGACCCUAAACCCAUUUUGUAAUAUUUGGUAACUGCAUGUAUUUCGCAUGUUAUUGAAUGUUUAUUGAAGGUUUAUUGAUAGUUUGCUGCAUGUAUAUGGAAUAUCAUUGCCCCAAAAUUGGAUGUUUAUUGGGGCCACAAGUAUCACUCAAGUAAGAAUGAAGGGGAGAAACGGACCUUAUUCUUUCUUAUAGUAGGAAGAACAACUGUUAAGUUUAAUAUCCUAUUCAAUACGACUUCCCUAUGGUUGGUGUACUUGGGGACUGAAGUAUAUUGCAUCAUUAUUGUGGGCAAGGGCAUGUCUAUUGUGUGUGUUAAGGGAGUAUUGUGUGGGCAAGGGCAUGUCUACUGUGUGUAUAUUGCAUGUCUACUGUGUGUAUAUUGCAUAUCUAUUCUCUGUAUAUGGCAGGCCAAGUUUGUGUAUAUUGUUUGUCUGUUGUGUGUGUAUUGCUUGUCGGUGCGUUUGUGAAUUGUGGUUCAUUUUGUGUAUAUUGUCUUUGUUUCUACUUUUAUGCUACUGAGCUGCGGAAAACCUCGCAUGUUUAGACACCUAUUAUGAUGCAACACAUUGCGAUUAAUGGUGGCUUGCAUCAACAAUGACAUAUCACUUUGCAAUGAUGUAAUACACUUAAAAAGCCGUCUUCAAAUCCCAAUUCACAUAUGCAGUCUUAAAAUUCUAAUUCAAUGCAGUUUGGUUAACAAACAUGUAAAUGUCAUGAAGGAGUUAGCGGUAGAAUUCGAUAAGGACCCGUACGUCUCUAUUGUGUAUUUACAUUAGUUUGAGAAUGGACAUUCCCAAAACCUUCUCAUGUACCAUUUGUCAUCUUCAACCAAUAUCAUGGGAAGUAAGCAUCUCCCCUUGUUAUCUCCGCAGCCAAUUUCAACCGAAAAAAAGGCAUGUUGUGCGAGGUGCAAGUAGCUAACGGAAGCUUAGCGCUGAAAAGCUCAAUGUACUUUAACACAAACAUGCCACAAUCGCCUCUGAAGCAAAACAAGAACUCGAUCAAUUCAACUAAUGACAUUCUAAUGUAAUUGACAAUUGAAAGUAAUAAAAUUAAAUUGCAAGUUGUGCUUACUCAUUAGACUGUUGUGGAACAUCCACACGCUCUAUUGGCCACGGACACCACCAAUCUCGGCUGCAAUUGUUUGCAUAAACACCUUCUUCAUAAAAGUCGAUGGUGUUGAGAAGAUUUGGAAGCGUAAUUGAUAGCGGGCCGAGUUCUUCCUUUACGAUGUCAUCUGGAAUUAGUGAAACCUUUGAAUCGUACACUUUGAUUCACACAAUACCAGAUCAAACANNNNNNNNNNNNNNNNNNNNNNNNNNNNNNNNNNNNNNNNNNNNNNNNNNNNNNNNNNNNNNNNNNNNNNNNNNNNNNNNNNNNNNNNNNNNNNNNNNNNNNNNNNNNNNNNNNNNNNNNNNNNNNNNNNNNNNNNNNNNNNNNNNNNNNNNNNNNNNNNNNNNNNNNNNNNNNNNNNNNNNNNNNNNNNNNNNNNNNNNNNNNNNNNNNNNNNNNNNNNNNNNNNNNNNNNNNNNNNNNNNNNNNNNNNNNNNNNNNNNNNNNNNNNNNNNNNNNNNNNNNNNNNNNNNNNNNNNNNNNNNNNNNNNNNNNNNNNNNNNNNNNNNNNNNNNNNNNNNNNNNNNNNNNNNNNNNNNNNNNNNNNNNNNNNNNNNNNNNNNNNNNNNNNNNNNNNNNNNNNNNNNNNNNNNNNNNNNNNNNNNNNNNNNNNNNNNNNNNNNNNNNNNNNNNNNNNNNNNNNNNNNNNNNNNNNNNNNNNNNNNNNNNNNNNNNNNNNNNNNNNNNNNNNNNNNNNNNNNNNNNNNNNNNNNNNNNNNNNNNNNNNNNNNNNNNNNNNNNNNNNNNNNNNNNNNNNNNNNNNNNNNNNNNNNNNNNNNNNNNNNNNNNNNNNNNNNNNNNNNNNNNNNNNNNNNNNNNNNNNNNNNNNNNNNNNNNNNNNNNNNNNNNNNNNNNNNNNNNNNNNNNNNNNNNNNNNNNNNNNNNNNNNNNNNNNNNNNNNNNNNNNNNNNNNNNNNNNNNNNNNNNNNNNNNNNNNNNNNNNNNNNNNNNNNNNNNNNNNNNNNNNNNNNNNNNNNNNNNNNNNNNNNNNNNNNNNNNNNNNNNNNNNNNNNNNNNNNNNNNNNNNNNNNNNNNNNNNNNNNNNNNNNNNNNNNNNNNNNNNNNNNNNNNNNNNNNNNNNNNNNNNNNNNNNNNNNNNNNNNNNNNNNNNNNNNNNNNNNNNNNNNNNNNNNNNNNNNNNNNNNNNNNNNNNNNNNNNNNNNNNNNNNNNNNNNNNNNNNNNNNNNNNNNNNNNNNNNNNNNNNNNNNNNNNNNNNNNNNNNNNNNNNNNNNNNNNNNNNNNNNNNNNNNNNNNNNNNNNNNNNNNNNNNNNNNNNNNNNNNNNNNNNNNNNNNNNNNNNNNNNNNNNNNNNNNNNNNNNNNNNNNNNNNNNNNNNNNNNNNNNNNNNNNNNNNNNNNNNNNNNNNNNNNNNNNNNNNNUUUUCCUCUCCCUCAUCUCUAUUAUUUGGCCCUUCACCCCCUUCAAUCCCUUCAUCUUCUUUUUCCUCUCCCUCAUUUCUGUUACUUGGCCCUUCAUCCCAUUGAAUGUCAUCCAUUUCCCCAUAUCCCUUAAAUAGAUGUGAGACGACACAACGAUUCGUCCUCUGUUUCAGUAAAGCUAGGUCCCUCCUUACUUCCUGCUCAAACUGAGGACCUAAACAUUGGUCCAAUAGUUUUUCCAUCCGUAUGACCUUUAAGUGAAGGACGUCUUUUUCCCGCUUUUCUUGAAACAACUCGGACCUCAACAAGCUUACCACCUUGUUCAACUCAUCAAGAUCACCACAUGAAGAAGGAAUUGACUCUGCCGAGACAACAGCAGGGCGAUCCUGUGGCCAACUCCAAUAUGGCUGUCUCAUUUCCUCUUCACUUAGACAUAGCGCCCGCAACUGAACUGACUGUUUCAGAAUACAGACAAGAGUCAUAUUAAAUCAUUCUACUUCAUAAUUUCAUUCAAUCUUAUCAAUAGUUCUAAGGGCUGCAAACCAAACCUCUUUGCUCUGGAAAAAAUAAUUGUUCAACUUUCUCAUCUCUGGAACAGACGUAGUAGUUCUCCAUCGCAAAAUACGCGGGACAGCGGUCGGAUCAACAACCUUGCAGUAAUUCAGGUCCGCCAUUCUAGGAAUUAAUUCAUAUACCCAAAUCUACACAAUUCACAGGACAAAAGUCAUUAUUUAUGUUUUAAAGAAAAACAAAACAUAACUGACAUGAACAUUAUUACCAUGUACCUGGAAAGCAUACGUGAAACCUUUAAAACUCCAGCCACUCCUUUGCGCUUCACUAUGCUUAUCCUUCUUGCCCUUCUCAUUUCUCCGGCUUGUUCCCGUUACCUUACUUUUCCCCUUCCCUCUUCCCUCUUCAUUUUCCAAGCUUUUCACAUACUUUGUUGGUGCAGAAAAUAGACUGUCUUGGGUUUUGUCAAAGGACACCGAACCCCACGGAUACCUGUUGAACGCAUCCAAGUCCUCUACAAGGGUCAGGUAAUUUAGAUUGAUGUUCAAAUGUUUGUCCCUUCCCAAAACCACUAACUCAGCAAAGUAAACAAGAGGUAGCUUGAAGAUGUCAUCUUCCUCUGUGCACCUCACAAAUGCUUCUUCUAAAGCAUUGCAUGUAAUUCCUUCGUCUAUAAAAUAUCUUUUCUGAAGUCUGAUUUCAUUACUCUCUCCACUGGAAACUUCAGGCACUUCCCCAAAACGAAGCCCUGUGAUCAAACAGAAAUCCUGACGAGUGAACUGAGCAACGUCACACCCUAAUAAGAAACUCAGUCCAUCCAAGUCUUUCACACCCUGCCCCGCUACUCUACGCAACACAACCCCAUGCACAAUCUGUCCGCUAAACUGAAUCUUAUCUAUAUUCAGAAGAUGGCCAAAGCAUGAUGUCUUGAAUUGUUCUAAUUGUUCCGCACUCAACUUCGCUCGAAUUGCAGCUAGAGAUGAAUUUGCAUGUGAGCAGUUGUUCACCCGUGAUGAAUAUACCUCUGCCUCUGGCCAUACCAGCUCCACGUUGGAUCCCAUUUCCUCAAAUACAAUGUGAAAUAACGUGAACAUAUAUACUACCACGUAUUUGCACAAUCACAACUAGUCAACCAGGCACAUUACAACUUUUACAAAGUACAUGAGCAUAUGGAUUACUCAUCACAGGCUUUAACAUCAUCAAAGCAAUAUGACAAUUUUUGUGCAAAUACCUGUUAAUGCAAUGAUUAUGUGAAUUACAAACAAUUUCACGUGUUUUAUUUAUGGAUCCAUACUCGUGUGAGUGCAAUGUAGGCAAGUUCUGCACUUCACACACAUGACAAUUAUUGUCAUCUCAUACACAACCCAAAAUAAAUAAAUAAGAAAUAUAGUGGAAGGAAGCAAAGCAAAGCAUGUACUCUGCUAUCUGCUUGCUAAGCAAUUGCCACAUCCUUCUUUCUUUCUACCUUUUUCUUCAGUCACCCACAAUCGUCAUAGAUCAACCUUCAUUUCAAAUGCUUUGCACUUUUAUUCAUGAGUUUAUUAUUAUCUGUUCUCAUUUCUCAUAGGCAAAUUUAGUAACAAAUGAAAUAAUAUUUAUUUCACAAAAUAUAUAAAUUCUAGUGCCAGAGAGGUACUCUUCACUCUGCACUGCUUCAAAUGUGGAAGGUUUUGAGAUGUUAUUGACAUGUGAUUGACUUUAUUUUCAUUCGUUUUUUAACAUAUACCCAAGCAAAAAUUAACAUGCAAUUGAAGCACAAAUAAGAGAUGCCAAAUCCAACAACAUUGAUGGUACAAAUUGGGGAAAACCAUUACUCUAACCCUAAACUCAAAUUCCUUACAUUACUCAUCAAAUGCUUUGCAGUUCUAUUCAUGAGUUUAUUAUUAUCUGUUCAAAUGUUUCUCAGGCAAAUUUAGUAACAAAGGAAAUCAUAUUUACUUCAUAAAAUAUAUAUAUAUAUAUAUAUAUUCUAGCGCCUCUUCUUAAUCUGCACUAUGCACUGCUUCAAAUGUGGAAGGUUUUGAGGGCCUCCUCCAAUUCAACACCAUUAUCUUAUUCAUAUCAUUAUUGACAUGUUAUUCACUUGUUAUUGACUUCAUUUUCAUUCUUUUUUUAACAUAUACCUAAGCAAAAAUUAACAUGCAACUGAAGCACAACGAAGAGAUGCCAAAUCCAACAAAAUUUAUGGUACAAAUUGGGGAAAACCAUUACUCUAACCCUAAACUCAAAUUCCAUAAAUUACUCACCAAAUGCUGGUUAUUGCAAGGUGUCUGUGUGGGGUCUUUCUGUUUCUUUGCUCCACAAAUGGAACCUACCACUUCCAACGAAUACAGCUUUUCCCCUUCCCCUUCCACUGCUUCGCCUCUUCACUGAUUUGGAAUCCACACCUUUGCCCCUUCUACUCCAAAUAAAUACUUUCUCGGGGUCUGGAGAACGGAGUGGCGAAUCGUUGCCUUCAACUGUCGUUAGCCGUUGCCUUCAUUGGGUAUCUCAGACCUCUGUGUUUUAGAGAGAUGAGUUCUUUCUGUUCAAACUUCGAACUUGCCUCUUCUUCUUCUUUUUCGGACGUGUUUCCCUCUUCUUCUUCUUUUUGGACGUGCUGGAUAUUCAAUUCGGGUUUGGGUUCCUUACCUACCCAAUUGUGAAACUUUAACUCAAUUCUCCCCAGCCCUUGGAUUAAUCUGAUGGCUAUAAAGUGAACCCCUUAUAACUUACCCCUUAUAACUUUCCACUCAUUAUAGUCUUGGCCAGGUAUGGCGGCCAUGCUAGUAAGUGUUGGGUCUUUGACCCAACUUAAGCUAAAUGGGUCAUAAGAUGACCGAUCAUCUUAUCUCAUAAGGAUAUAUAAGUCAUGUUAUGAUUUAGGAUUUUAUAGGGUUUCCUUUGUAAGAGGUAAGAGAGAAACAAGCUCUCUCUCUCUCUACACAAGGAGGUCAGCCAUAGCAAGGGAAAGGCUCCUAGCACUCUCCUCUCUCUUAUUAUAUCAUCCUUCCAAGGACAGCUUUGGUAUGGUAAAGUUGGAGGUUGCACACUUUGUGCACUUUGGUAAGAACUCAUCCAAGGGAGCCAAGAUUAAAUUGGUUAGCUGUUGGAUUAAAUUGGUUAGCACGAUUCAACGGUUAAUAGAUAAAACUUCACAUAAAAGUCAUAUAUAAGGCCCUCACUAUAGAAUGACUCGUUAGUUUAGUCUCUUGUUACAUAUCAAAUGUUAGAGAUAUUUUUUAAUAAGGAUCUGCCAUACCACAUAGUUGGAUAAGACAUUAUACACGGCUUUUGUAAGAGCAUCUCCAGCGCUCCAAACUAGCCCAAGCAGCAGGGGGGCCUAAGUCUAGGAAGCAGCUCCAGCUCGCAAGAUUCAACCCAGGCAAGGUGUGGAACCCACGAGGAGAUCUAGCCCGUCACCUUGCCUUUGGGUUUCAGUCAAGCUGAUGUCAACGAAAGAAUUUCAAAUUUUUUUUACCGUUACAAUGUACGCGCCAACGAUAAAUUUUCUUUGGAUUUCUUGCAUUGAUCCACAGCUACCAAAAACCAACAGCUACAAGCCACGUGGCUUCUCCAGGAGCCUCCGAUCCAAAAAUCAUGUCAAAUCUAACGGCAGUCCAUUUUUUGGCUAAAAAUAUCAAAAAAUUAUGGAAACAUGUUCUAUAAAUUCCUACAAAUAUUAUUCACUUCCCACACCAAAUCUUCAUACAAAUUCAUAUCCUUUCAAUAUUUUUCACUUUCCAUACAAGAUUUUCUACUACUAAGUUUCGUUUGUGUAAAAAUACAAAUGACCUCUUCUAUCGAAGCCGGAGGCGCGUGUACAACCGUGGAAGAUAUUUUGUUGCGUGAGUGUUGGGUCAAAGUUGGUCAUUCCCUGAUCACGGGCAAUGAGAUGAAGUCCUCUCGUAGGAGUUUCUGACAUCGCAACGAAAGUAAGAUGUGAUAUGAAAAUGUAAGGAAUUUGAUGAGAGGAAUGGGAUUUGAGGAGUUUGAUGUAGGAAUUGAUGUAGGAAUUGAAUUUGGGAGGUAUGUAUAUAAGAUUUGAGGGUAUGUGUUUAGGGAUUUUGAUAAGAGGAUUUGAGGAAUUUAGAUUUGAAGGAUUUGGAUUUGGGGAAUUUAAAUAUGAGGAAUUUGAUUAGGGUUUGGGUUUGAAUAUGUGAAAUUUGAUAUGAGAGUUUAGAGACAACAGAUGAUCGAUUGCUCUGAUACCAUGCUAAAAUAUGAUAUGGUUUGAAUACUUUAGGUUGAGUUUUAUUCUUUUCCAUAAAAAGGUAUAUAUAGGAGUUUACAUGAGUGCUUUACAAAGAAAUAGAUACAAUAAUCAAUUAGGAUAAUAUCUCCUAAUUAUACAAUAAUUUGUCAACUAUAUAGAAUAGGAAAGUAAAUUCCUUAAUUAAUCAAGAAAAUAAAUCUCAUUGAUUAAUUAGGAGACUAACGUCAACAUUUAUAAGCCAUAAAAGAGCAGAAAAAGAGGUACUUAGGAGAUUUUAUACGUCGGACUAAGGUAAGCUUAAAGGACUAUAUCAAAAAAAUAAGGGACCAAGAAGCAAGACAGAGAAGUUGUUAUGCAAACCCAUUAAGUUUAGCAGUGAUGAAUUUGUAAAAAUCAUUCUAGUGGAUUCUGCCUUCACUAUUGAGUUCUUAUUGAGGUUCUAUCUGAAAGGAUCUGGACAUGAAGGAGACCGCUUAUUAAACAAACCGUGGAUGUUUACAGCCUGACAUGUGGUUGCUUGAAAAUCAGCUCCCAUUCUUUAUUCUUGAGGAUCUUUAUCACACAUACAUAAUAACCGACUCUUUUAGGAAUUAUUACAGUACUCAUGAUCAUGAGAGGCUUUCAAUAAUUAAUAUUUCUAAGAAUUUCUUCACAGCCGGAAUAUUGAAUUUGGAGGGGAAGGGAGACAAAUGGAACAGAAUAUCAUCUUCUUCUAGUGUUGGAAAUUUUAUAUUAUUUAAUAAUAUUUAAUUUCUAUUGUGAAUGAAAAAUAAGUUUCUUUAAGAAACGUGUGUCUUAGGCCAGUUUUUCUAACUGGUCGGCUUCCUUAGAUUUGUGCCUAUUGCUUUUCAAAGUAUAAUGAUGCAAUGGUUGUAUCUCGUUCAGGCAAAUGGAAGGUAUAUAGCAAUUUAUAGAACAAUACAGUAAUCCAGAAGAAAUAUUAUGAAAUGAAAAGAAUAAAAAGUAAAAAAAGAGAAAGAAAGGAAUUCCCACCUGCAAUGUAUAUGUAUGAAAGGAAGGACCAAGUUUGUUUUAAAAUGGUAAGAACAAGUUGAUUUUAAAUUGGGUUCAGAUCAACUCAUAGAUUUCUUGCCUUUUCUGUUCUCCUUCCUUGGACAUGAACUGUUUAAUCUUGGACUCUUCCCCAUCAUGUUGGGCCUGUCUUCUUCUUGAGGAUUGUAUAGGCCUAGGAAAUGCUUCGGGGUAGUUUUUGUGUUUUGGGCAUUGGGACCCAACUUCACAAAAAGAAAACAAAUUUGACCAAAACACAAAUUUGAAGGACAUUGAAAUUGUACCCGUAGGAUAGAUUAAAACACUAUAAGGGAGGUAAAUAGUACGUUUACAGAGUUUAAGUGUAAUAAAGGAAUAAAAACAUGCCCAGAGAAUUGAUAAGUGAUAUCAAUUCUUGAAUAUACGUGAAAAUUAUUUUAUGUGGUUAAACCCCACCUCUGGGGAAAAUCCACGGAACUUCUUAGUCCAACUUCUAUCACUUAUCCUAGACACAUUCUAGAUAAUGUUUGCCAACCUCUUCGUAACUCAACUUCUGUCACGAGAUGAUCUUUCAACACUUUAUGUCGAACGCAAUACUGGUCACGAUUUCUUCAAGCUCGCCGGAGUUCUUCCAAUUCUCCUUAUAUUGAAUCUGAUACUAGUCACGAUCGAUUCAAGCUCAUCGGAGAAAAAUCGCCACAACAAUCUUGGUGCCCUCAACCGUAUGAGUCACUGAACAUGCAAAUGAAUACAAUAUGAAUGAUAAAAGUGUUUGAUAAAUCACCAAGUUAUGGAACACUUGAUGAUUUAUCUCAAAUAAAAAUUCAGCUUUCCAAAGUUUAUGAAUUGAAAAUAUGACCGUUAAAGCUCUCUAAACAAAGAAGACGAAGGUCUUAUUUUAUAGACUUUUACUUUACAAGAAAGAAAACACGUUGAAAACCAAAUCUCCAAUUUCCAAGGCUUGACAGAAAAUCACAAAAUUAUCUUUCCUAUUCUAGAGAUUGGUCACAUGAAGUCCAACCAAUAGGAAAUGAGAUAUUUAAGAAAGGAAGAUUUUGAUCAAUAUCAAUAUCAAAUGAAUUCUUAUACGCCUAGUCAAUUGUUAUGGGUAUCUUGACUCCUUGAUAUUGUGAUAUGAUUGAAACAUGAUUUCCACGUUAGAAAAUUAAGGGGAUGUUAAAACAUGAAGGUAAUAGGAGAAUCAAAUUGAUUUGGGCCAAAAUUGCCUAAAAAGAAAACACUCCUUAAUAAACUUCAAUUUACUUUUAAAAAUAGUAAAACGUGAUUGAAUCGUUCUUUAAAACAAUUCCCUAAUAUACAUGCAUGAUAGUGAUAUCACUUACCUUUGAAUCAGAUGGCUUUCACGGGUCAAGCCACAAGUUUUUGUCUUGGGGAUUGCUGAGCUUCAUCAAUCCUGCCAAUGUCAAUUUUGCCCCUAAGCUCUCUCAAAGCACGUUUACAACCUAUGCUAACAUAUAUUAGAGUUUAUGUUAGUAUCAAGAAAAUGCCAACACUAAUUUCGUAACACGUAGAAAUUGUUAGAGAUUGAAGUUUUUAUCAUUUUUUCUUCCAGACUCUCCACCACUCACUAAUAUAGUUUACUCAUGUGAUGAGUUUACAAAACCUAUUUCUCUACUCUCACAAAGACUAUACUUAGGGGGGUGUAUUCAAUUAGGAUUCUAAAGCGUUUAAAAAGAUUUUGUUUAAGUGCCAGCUUUCAUAGAACUUGAUGGAACUUUAUAAUUCGUAUAGAACUUGAUAGACUUUCAGAAGACUUCUGUAUAAUUUUUUAAUAAAACUUUCUUAAGCUUUCAUAGAACUUGAUAGGCUUUCAUUCCAAACUUAUGUAGAUGGUAUAUUUCAUUUUAUCCCCAUCCUUGACAUUUAAAGAAAGAAACUUGAAUUUUUUCAAUCAAAUUUGUUUUUGUUACCAAAGCAGCAAAAACAAAAAGUACUUGUUUGCGAUGGAAGAACAUAUGCACAGUUCAAAAUGAAAAGAAUAAGAAGCAAAGUACCUAUUUGACCAAUGAAUGCUGUGUCAACUAGAGAAGCAAUUGGAUCGGCUGUCAAAGCCAAUGCUGCAGGCAAUGCAUCGAUGGUCCAAAUUGCAAUAAAAAAAUAUUUUGAAUAAUGGCUCUUGCAGACAAAGACCACAUAAAUUCUGAACUGGUCUAGCUUGAAUAAUAAGGUUAGAUUAGCCAAUUGAUGAGAUUAAAAGCAAAGCAAGUUGAUGAAUUUAUCAUCAACUAUUUAAUAACCACAGUCCUGAUCUCUUGGACCCCUGUAGUCCAAGAGAUUUAUGGUCACCCACCGUUGGAUGUAAAUUCAACGGUUGACUUGAAUCGGGUAAUAAUCAUUUAUGUCAUAUUGCAUUUAUAUAUAUCAUUUUGAACCAUUGGAUUAAUAUCCAACGGUGGGUGACCACAAUCUCUUGGACUCCUGUGGUCCAAGAGAUCGGGACUGUUAAUAACCAAUAGAGUAUUUAAACAUAAACAACAAUGUUUGAUCAACAAAACAAAUAGUCCAAAUAUCAUCCAAAAAACAAUAACAAAAAAUCAAUCAUUCCAAACAAACUAGUCAUUCUCAAAAACUCUCAAAAAACCCACUCAUUCCAAAUUGUAGGAUAUCCAAUUUGAGCACUCCUCAGGAGACAUUUUCAAAAAUGCAUCCUUUUUUGUGUUACUAUGCAACAAAGAGAGUGCUUUAUAACGAGCAUGUUCAUCCAAAUUUGGGGUCUCCUUAAUGGCAUCCCAUAUAUAACUCCGCUGCUCUCUCUCUUUUUCCCUUUUUGCCAAUAGGUUAUGGACCUCCCGGAAGUCGAUGACAAUUGAAUCAAUGCUAAGGCUAAUUCUUCCCAUAGCUUGCUGGGUGGUCACAUUUGAGAUAGCAUUCCCUUCCAAAUAUGUUCUAGUUCGUUUCCUCUAGUAACAAGCAUAAAUCCUAGUAACAAGCAUAAACCCUAACCCCAACCUAUAACCUAAUAACAAGAAGAAAACCCAACGAGGUAUUGAUCAAAGAAAAAUUAGGGAGCAUACCUUCACAGAUGGAGGAAGGAAGCUGUUCGUCUUCGCAGAGAGAAAAUCUAGGGAAAGAGAAAAACGUCUUAUGAAAUACUUGGGGGGGAGGUUGGAUUUAUUUUGGUCUUUUUUAUUUAUAACUCUCCCCUUAAAACCUACGUAAAUUUAUCACUUAAUGAAAUCCUUCCAAAUAUAUGACCUUUCGAAUACACCUAGAUUUGAUUCAACUUUUUUAUAAUCAUAAUUGAAUACACCCAUAUUUGAAUGGACUUUUUAAAAGUUCAUAUAGGUCCGAAAUGAAUAUACUCAAACUUGUAAAACCUCUUUUAAAGUUUGUAUAAAUCCAAAUUGAAUACACCUGGAUUUUUAAAAUCUUUUUAAACACUUUAUAAUCCUAAUUGAAUACACCCCCCUUAUUCUCAAAAGACUAUAUUACUUUACCUCUAUCUCUGUGAAAUGUAAAAAGUUGAAACUUUAAUGUCAAACCUCAACAAAAGAUGAACUUUCAUCAGUUACGUUGAAUUUGGAUUUGUUGAACUUAAGUGGUUUUAUUUUCUUUGUCAGUGUUUGAUGACUUAAUUUGGUAUUUAUUUCUUCUUUUUUUUCCUUGGAAAUGUGUUCCACCAACGUGAGGAAGAAAAAUAUGCACAAAUUAAUAUAUUUAAUAGAAGCCCAAGAUUUCGGAUGCAUAUAAUUUCUACAAAAAUCUACAAAGUUUUUUACUUUACAAACUUCUUAUGUCUACCAAUUUCUACUAAAAUUAAUUUCUCUGUGGUGCUCAAAUUCAUCAUAUGUGUGUCGUUAAUUUUAUUGAAAAUUGGAAGUUCCCAUCAUUUUUGUUUUUUGGGAAUUUUCUGAACCAAGGAAAAUCAAGUAAAAUUAAUAAAGCCUAAAUUGGAAAGGGAAAAUAUCUAGAGGAUGCAUUGUAGGAUUGCUCAUGCCAAUAAUUGUACCCUCUAAAUAUAUAGAGACAUAUUUUUUUUGUUUUCAUGACAUGUGGUCCUAAAAUUAUUGUGUAAAUCUUCAAUCCUGAACGAUGCACCUAAAACUCAUCCACCCAUUCUCAGGCCAAUUAUUGCACCUAGUGGGCUCUCGACCCCCUCUCAAAUUUAACCACAUAUUUUAUGGACCAUCCAGCUGUGAGGUACAUUCCCCCCACAUGCCACAAUUGUAUAUUCACAAUUACGUCUGAUACAUCACAUCAUGCCACUUGCCUCAAAUGAAUUUAAGUGAGUGAGGCAGUUGGAAGUAAUUAAGCUCUAUAUUGGUGGGUGGAGUGUUACUUCUCGGUUCCCCUCAUCAUUCGUCUAUAAAAUGGUGAAGGCAGUUGCUAUUGUUACCAUAAGAGCCAGCUCCGACUUCCUUUAAUUUCUUGCUUCAUAUCCACUAGCUACAUCUGUUACCAAGUUAAUUUCAGUUCUAAUGGGGUUUCAUCUCCCACUCAUCUUUGCUCUUCUCAGUGUAAGCUCUGCAAUUUGAUUAACUUUUCCAUUCUCUCUCAUUGUACUCUAUAUAAACGAAAGUUUUGUGUUCCUAUUGUUCUCUCCGAUUUUAUUUAGUACGUACUUAAGUGUCGUCCACUAAUUAAUUAUACUUUGUGAUUUGAUUUUAAUUUGAGUUUGAAUUAAUGUUGCAGCUAGCAGCAGUGGCACUGGCAAACCAUGCUGCUCAACCAGCACCUCAACUUUACUGGAGCUCCGUCCUGCCAAACACACAGAUGCCAAGAUCUAUCAGUGAACUUCUGCAUCCUGGUUUGUGUUGAGCUCUUUAGAAUCUUAGAUAUCUCUUCUACCUGCCAUUUUACUAAAAUAUGUUCCACCACAUAUUUAUCAGUUAACCAUUGUCAUUACAUGAGUGACACAUAUUCACAAAUCGGCUGAUCACUUAUUUUCCAUUAUGACUUGAUAUAUAAUUUGCAGACUCCACAAAUGAAGAAAAGAGCACAAAUGACGUUGGCAAACCUGAAACUUUCCCAUUGGGCAAUCAACAUUACUCCAGUCAAAAACAUUAUGGAGGCAUACCUGAAACUUCCCCAUUGGGCAAUAAACAUUACUCCAGUCAAAAACAUUAUGGAAGAGGCAAACCUGAAACUUUCCCAUUGGGCAAUCAGCAUUACUCCAGUCAAAGACAUUAUGGAAGAGGCAAACCUGAAACUUUCCCAUUGGGCAAUAAACAUUACUCCAGUCAAAAACAUUAUGGAAGAGGCAAACCUGAAACUUUCCCAUUGGGCAAUCAGCAUUACUCCAGUCAAAAAAAGUAUGGAAGAGGUGCUUCUCCAUCCGACAAUCAACAACUCCAUUAUAAAGACUUAGCUAUUUUCUUCUUGGAGAAGGACAUGCGCC
rnacentral:lncRNA from 1 species